CGACCCGGCCUCCUCGCCAUUUCCCCCUCCCCCCUCUUCUCUCUCCAGUCUCCCCCUGCGCACGCGGCCUCCCUCCCUUUCUCUCUCCUCCCGCUUCCCUCCCGUUGCUCUGCCUCUCGCUCCCUCGUCCGAUCUGCAUCUGCCCCCCUUGUCCUUCCGUCUUCUCGUUUUCUUUCUUCCUUCGUUCUCGGCAGUGUCAAGAUUUGUCUUUGUUUUCCCGGAGCGGCGGCGGCGGCGGUGGUGGAGUGGUGGUGCGGCGGGAGAUUCAGGGAGAUCUAGCUCGAUCUGCCUCUGUUCUUGGAGCUCGAGGGCGCGGGGAGCCGAGAUGGCGGCGCAGGAGCAGGAGCAGCAGGCCAAGACGAGCACCACCAGCUCGCUGCCGUCCAGCAGCGACCGCUCCUCCAGCUCCGGCCCCAACAACCUCAAGGAAGGAGGUACCCACCGUCUCUCCCUCCACCCCGCCGCUCUUUUGCUCGCUCGCUCGCUCGCUGACUGAAUCCGGCAGCUCAGCUCGAGAGUCGAGACGCUGACGACGCGUGUCUAUGUGUAUGAUGUGGUGGCAGGCGCGGAGAGCGACGAGGAGAUACGGCGGGUGCCGGAGAUGGGCGGCGGGUCGGCGUCGUCCGGCGCGGGGGACGGCAAGCAGCUGCAGCUGGCGGCGGCCGGGGGCGGGCAGGCCCCGGCGGGGAAGAAGCGCGGGCGCGCCGCCGGGGACAAGGAGCAGAACCGGCUGAAGCGGCUGCUGCGGAACCGCGUGUCGGCGCAGCAGGCCCGCGAGCGGAAGAAGGCCUACAUGACGGAGCUGGAGGUCAAGGCCAAGGACCUCGAGCUCCGCAAUGCCGAGCUGGAGCAGAAGGUCUCCACCCUCCAGAACGAGAACAACACGCUCCGCCAGGUACCGUAUCCACCCCAGAUCCUCCCUCCCAGCACAAUUGUCUCACUGUCAGCGGCCAUGGCGAUACUGAAUCUUGCAUGCGUGUGCGUUUGCAGAUACUGAAGAACACGACGGCGCACGCCGGGAAGAAGCCGAGCGGCGGCAAGGGGGGAGACAGCGGCAAGAAGCACCACCACCACUUCGGCAAGGGCUAGUAGCAAGACCGAGCUUCUCUGCUGCGACGAUGGUUGCUAGGAACCACCCAACGUCUGCCCAUCUGACCAUUGUUAGGACACUGCUGUUGUUGUUUGCUGCCGCAGUUUGACGCUUGGCUUGUCUUCUUCUUUUUCACUCCUCUCUUCUCCACGGUUGCUCGGUCGCCCGCUUUUGAUGUCUCACUGUCACUGUUGUGUGUGCCCUGUCCAUGGUAGCUUGUUGUUAGGAAUGUUGAUCUAUGUGAACAUUGGUUGUGUAUUGUACUGUACUGUUCUCUUCUCUUCUCCACCGUUACAAUUUGGCUUCUUCGCAAAGCUGGUCGCUGAAGCUGCGCAGGGAAAGAGCUUCAAAAGAUGAAUUUCAGUUCAAAUCCGAUGGCCCAAGCGAAAUCUCUCUCGGUUCUAAAAGGAGGCGCAGCCGCUUCGAGUGGCUCAGAAUUCAGCAGAUGAUGGGAGGCAACAGUGUUUCUAUUAUUUGACUGGAUUUUCUUUGACAAAUUGUUGGUGAUGUGUGUGAAUCAGCCAAAGGCGCUACCUGUGCUUAGUCAAAGAACAGAUGUCCUGAAAAUGCAAGUAGUUACUGACGAAUCCACCACUGAAUUCAGAACAGCUGAGGAGCUACUGUAUAUGACUUACGAUUGCCUGAUGCAGGAUAAGCUGCACCGUGAGGAGGUAUUGUAGAGGAAUUUGACUUGCAAGAUGCAGAGGGAAAAAGAAUGACAGAAUUUACAAGAACACCGCAACGGCUGUUCUGUUCAUGCUUGGCAUUCUUGUAGCCAACCCAACACAGACCCACAAUAUCGAUAGGAACAGUCAGGGAGGGGACCCUGAUAUAACAGUGCUAAACUGAACCACUUCCACUUCAUUUAUUUAUCCCGGUAUCACACAGUACAUCAUCAAAUUACUAAGCCCCAAAACUUUUUCGGCGUGUAUGGUCCGCCGUAAAGUGAGUGACUACUACCAUGGUUCAGGUCUUGCUAUCCUUAACGAACUACUUUCUUCAAACACUAAACUUUGACCGACUCUUAACCACCUUCAGCCUUUUCCUUCAGAAAAUGUAAAGUUACCGUGCGCGUAUCAGUAGCACCAACACCGUGGCAGAUCCGAGAGCACUUCACAUCACAUCUACCAGUAAUUUUUCGGCAUUAUCGACGGCCAGACUCACUCAAGAAGCCUCAACGGCAUGGAAGAAUUUGCUGGAGGAUCUAUUCGUUGGCUACGCGUGCGUCGCUCUGAUCGUGUACUCCGCCACAAGCUUUGAGAACAGAGACGACUUGUUCUCCAGCAGCUUGGCCGGCGUGUCACGCUCCACGGCCACACCUGCAUAGAUCGGCACAGCGUUUGUCAGACCAACAGGUAUGCCAAGCACAUGGGAUUAGUAGAAGAAUUAGCAAGGCGCGAUUGCGUUUGUUUUAAUGGGCUGAUUGCUGACCGUUGUCGAGGAGCAGAACCAUGUCGCUGUCGAGGACCGAGGUGAUUCGAUGCGCAAUCGUGAUGACCGUCGCCUCCGAGAAGUUCUCACGUAGUGUUUUCUGAAUCAUGUUGUCUGUCGCGGUAUCCACUGAAGCAGUGGCUUCGUCCAGAACCAGUAUCUUGGUCCGUUUCAGAAUCACUCUUCCAAGACAGACUAGCUGGCGCUGGCCCACGCUCCAGUUCUCUCCGUUCUCGAUCACUGCAAGGCAAAAUAACAUGAUUUUUCAGUUCAAAAAAGCAGCAGCACGUGUUAUAGUUUUCAAAUCUUGGAAGAGAAGAGAUGAUACUGGGAAAUGUGUGAACGAUGAGCAAAUUUAUUUUUUUAACAACAAAAGGCGCACGAAGCGCCAAACUUUCCAUUCAGCUCAGCUCAAUAGCGACAUACAGCAUGGAUUACAAAGCAAAUUAAGUUUCAGACUUUCAACUGCAUGACUGAAAAUAAACAUAUCACAUAUCAGACCUGGUGAGUCGAGUUUCAGCUCCUUCUUCCUGACCUCAUCUCCCAGCUGACAGUUAUCCAAGGCCUGAAAUGGAGCAAAAGAUUCAGACUGCAACUUUCCAAGAGGUUCUCGACUAUUUCGCAAGUAUUUGACGACUGACAAGAAAUGAAGCAUGUGAAAGCGAAGCUACCUCCCAGAUCUGAUCGUCAUUGUACUCGUUAAGAGGGUCAAGGUUGCUCCUCACAGUUCCCUCAAACAUCGUUGGAUCUUGUGGAAUGAUGCUAAGUCUAGAUCUCAGAUCAUGCAGCCCGAUGGUGCAGAUGUCAACACCAUCUACCAGUAUCUGACCGACAGUAGGCUCGACAAUACGGAAAAGGGCCUGUAUGAGUGUUGAUUUACCACUGCCUGUUCUUCCAACAAUACCAGUCUUCAUGCCUCCAGGGAAAGUGACGUUAAGGCCCUUCAGAACAAAUGGUAGUUGUGGAGCAUAUCUUACCUGCAGAAAUUUGACAAGUUAAUGAUGAACACUAUCUAGAAUAAAUUGGUUAAUUUUUUUUUUUACGAACAAAUUGGUUAUUUUUCAUUUGACAAAAUGCUGAAUUUACAAUUCGUUUCCCAUCAGACUGGAUUUCUAAUAGUUGACUCACAAUGGCAAAAAGUAUGAAAUUUCUGCAUAACAACACGGUAAAAGAAAAGGAGAACAUAAUUAAACAGGAGGGAAAAAAAGAAAGAGUACUUACAUGGACGUCACGAAGCUGAAUUUCUCCCUGUGACGGCCAGUUAUGGGGCAACUUAUCUUCUGACAUUGAAAGUGGGGGCUCUUCAGGAAUGCUUAUGUAUUGCAGAAUUCUUUCUACUGAUAUGAUCUUGUUCUCCAAAUUGCACAUGCUCCACACAACCCAUGCUUGCAGCAUGUUCAAGUUAAGCCCAUAUGUGACCGCGAGACCAGCAAUACCUGAAAGCAGGAUGUAGAUUUAGUUGCAAGCCCAUAUCAAGUCACGUCAAAUCUGCUAACGUUACUUGGUAUAAAUAUUGUUCCGAACUAGUAACAUCCUAACCUGGAUCGAUGAUACCAGUUGGUAGACUGAUCAGAAAUACCAAAGCGAAUGCAAAUGUGAAGGACGACAGCGUAUCCAAGCGGAAACAAAGCCACUCCAUUGCUGCAGCAUUGUAGAAUUUCGGUCGAGAGUAGGCAUCCAUUAGAUGGCUAUUAGUUGAUACAAACUGAUGUUCUUUGCCAAAACUUCUGAUGGUGGUUGAUCCAGUAAUUGAUUCAGCAAAAUGUUGUAUGAUAGGAGCUUUGCAAACCCCUACCAGCCUUUGCAGCUCUCUGGCCGUCUCAAUGUAGUAGCGCUGCAAGAUGAUAGAUGUAGUAAGGUGCUGAACUUGCAGUUAAAAUAACAUGAAGAAUAAAUAUUAAAUAGAUUAAAUUACCUGGUACCAGAAACAGAUAAUGAUCACAGGAACGAACACAAGAAACACCUGCCAUGCUACCUGAGACAUAACCGCAAUAAUUCCAACUAGUUGUAUGAUGGAAAAUGCAACAGAACCCAUCUGGUAAGCGAUGUUUGUAUCCACUUCGCUUUGAUCAGUUGAAGCCUAAACAGUUCAAUCUUGAGUGAGCAAUAAUCAAAGUAAACAAAUCAAACUUCCCAGGAAAUCUGAGGAGAUGCAAAUGACUUACUCUAUUCAAGAUGCGCCCACUUGGAGUGGAAUCGAAGAAAGACAUAGGAGCUCUGAAUAUGGCCAUAUGCAUCUUGUUGAACAACAGAGUUGCUGUUUUGUAUGCAGCUGUCACAAGAAACAGUGCCCUUAUGAGGAUGCAUAGCGAACUUGCAACAGCCAAUGCCACGAAGACAUAGAUCAGUGUCGACGUGCUCACUGGAGGCUCAGCGUCUUUCGACACAGGAGAAGCCCAAGCCAUCCAGUAAUUGCUAGCAAUCUGAAGUACUUGGAAAAGUAGCUGUGCUAUCAACACAAAUGGUACGAGAGCUCCGCCGUAAGCCAAUGUGAGGUAUUUCCAGUAGACCCAGAACCCCACCCUGCCUUUUUCUCUUUCUUCUUCCUGCACCAGCUGCCCACUCUGAACCUUGUCACCGUUGUCUUUGCCACUUUGUUUAUCUUUCUCUUCAGCUGAUGACAAUGACCUGGAUAGGCUUGAAGAGAUUGUCUCACUGCCUCCAUUAGCGACAUCAAUCACAUCCAAUGCUGUGAGAGCAUCUUGGUGAGCACCAACCAGUUCCAUUAGCUCUUCCCCUGAACCAAGUAUAUCGUUGUAUUUGCCUGCUUGUGCUAUUCUCCCACCUUUCAUUACCUACAUAUAAAAUUAUUAUAAGUAGAAUCGAACAAUUUAUGGCAAUAAAAUUUACAUGAAACAUUUGCCAGUGAAAUUCUCACCAGAAUAAGAUCAGCUGAAGGCAGGAAUUCAAUGUGGUGAGUGACAUAAACCACUGUUUUUGAAGCCAAAGCCCCAAGCAAGCAUUCCUGCAAAUGGAAGAAACCUUAAUAAGCACAUGUUCUCAAACUCCUAUAUUGAACAAAAAAAGAAUGUAUUAUACCUUGAAAAGGUGGGAUCCUGUAUGAGCAUCGACUGCGCUGAAUGGAUCAUCAAACAAAUAGAUGUCGGCAUCCUGAUACAAAGCUCGGGCUAUCUGAAUCCUUUGCUUUUGCCCGCCACUAAGAUUUAUGCCUCGCUCUCCAAUGACUGUCUUGUCACCGAAUGGCAAGAUCUCCAAGUCUUUCUUCAGUGAACACCACUCAAGGACCCUGUCAUAUUUCUCACUGUCCAUCUCCUUGCCGAACAGUAUGUUGUCCUGAAUUUUGCCGCUCUGUAUCCAUGCCGUCUGGCUGACAUAUGCCAUUGUUCCGCAAGUCUUGACCUCUCCUGAUAGCUUUGGCACCUCACCAAGAAUGCAAGAGAGCAAGCUUGAUUUUCCAGAGCCGACCGUCCCACAGACUGCAACGCGCAUACCUUGCUGAGCUUCAAAAUUCAGGUCCUUCAGCGUUGGCAGCUCAGGUGAGCCGUCCCAGGAGAAGCACCCAUUGCUGACCUCAAUUGCAACAUUGGAGCUACCACUUGGUAGCCUCUCCACGGCAUCCGUCGGCAACUCCUCAAGGCAUAGGAAAGAUGCUAUCCUGUCAAGAGACACCUUGGUCUGAAUCAUCAUCGAGAUUGUGUCAGGAAGGUUGUAUAUUGGUUCUUGAAGCACCCGGAACGUGGCCAAUGCAGACAGCACCUUCCCUGACUCCAAUGGUAUCCCUAAGAGCAUGCAAGCUCCGAAGGUUACCACAGCGACGAAGGUCGGGGCACCCCAGAACACGAAGGUGGCCGCGGUCGAUGUGUAAAGGUACUUCUUGAGCCAGCUUGUCUCUGUGGUCCUGAGGUCAAUGAUCUUGGACAAGAACUUCAUUUCCCACCCCUGCAGUUUAAGAAUCCUCAUGUUGCGCAGGAUCUCAGAUGUCGCCUUCAUCCUGACAUCCUUGCAGUCCAUGAGCUUCUGCUGGAACUUCUCCUGCAUUUUCAUGGGAGGCACAUUUGCAAGCAUGACCACAAUGGUGGCACCGAGCGCUGCAAGCGACGCUACCCCCAGGGUGGAGUACAAGAUGAACAAUGCCAUGCCUACUUGGAGUGGUACCAACCAGAGAUCGUGCAUGUACCAUGAGAAGAGGCCGACUCGGUCGGCGUCCACGCUGAUGAUGUUGAUCAUCUCGCCGCUGGUGCGGCUCUGUCUGGAGAUGCUGGACAGAGAGAGCCCUUUCUGGUACACGACGGAGACGAGCGCGGAGCGAGCACGUAUCCCGGCUUGCUGUAGCCGGAAGAACCAGUGCCGUUGUGACAAGCACUCAAACACCUUGGCUACGAUGAAUGUGACAACAAGGAGCUUCCCCUUGCUGGCGUACCUCUCGUCGCCGUUGAGGUACUGCACCAGGGAGUCUAUGAGGUACGGGCCAACGUAGGUGGCCAGGUUGUAGAUGAGUGCGUAGAGCGCGGUCACCGCGAUGUGCCACCAGACGGUGCGCACAAGGGCCUUGGUGAGCUUGAACGCGGUGAACUUGGGGCCAGACCCGUCGCCGGCUUGCGCCUCCAGGUUCGUCUUGAACGAGGGGAGCAGGCCGGCCACGCUGUCGGCAUGAUCAAGGUCAGGGACGUCGUCGAGGCCGAGGGCCUUCUUGUUGCCGACGGCGAGCAGGGGUCCCAUCCAGGAGAAGGUGAGGACGCUGAGGAAGCCGGCGCUCGUGAAGAGGGAAGCAUCGACGGUGUCGUCGCCGCGGCUCUCGCUCGCGCCGUUGAGCAGAGGCUCCUCGGAAGCAGAGCCGCCCGUCGUGUUGGCAGAGAACCCGGCGACGAGUAGCGCCACGCCUGCGAGGACCUCAACGGCGUCGCGCGCCCACGGAAGCGCGGGCACGGGGAGCCCGUAGGAGAGGCUCGUGGCGGCGUGGACGGCGAGAGCGAGGACGGAGAGGAGAAGGAAGAGCGCCCACCAGAGCUUGAGCGGCGCGGCGAAGCGCUCCUCCCCGCGGCCGCGGUACUGGAGCUGCAGGUAGGCCGCGAGCAGCAGCCACGCCACCGCGCGCGCCGCGGUGUCCGCCUGGUCGGCCACCGCGUCGGGCGCCCCCCACCCGGCCCCGCCGCCGGUGCCACUGUUGUCAAGGUACCACGAGACGAGCGAGUACACGCCGAGGAAGACCUCGGACGCCGCCAGAGCCCAUGUGGCGCGGACAGCGAACUGUCCCCACCGGAACCGGAUGCCACCGCCUCUCACCGCAGCGGCUGAUUCCUUGCCGCGGUGGGCGGGGGCGAAGAGGAGCCGGGCCGCGACGGCGAGCGCGAGCAGGAGGUGGGCCCCGGCGCCGAGGCCGUGGAGGAGCGCUGGCCGCAGGAAGACGGGGAGGGCGGCCGGCUCCGCUAUCGCUGCCGCGAAAGGCGACGACGACGCCGACGCCACGGUGGGCAUGGGUGGGCGCAGGCUGGGUGAGUGGAGCGCCGGAGCGGGCGGGCGGGCGUUAUAUAGGGGACCGGGCGGCGACACGUGCGGGGAGAAGAGUCGUGACGGCGACGGGGCGGCUGCGGCUGCGGCGCGGCGCGGGUCCUUGGGGUCCAAGACACCUCCCUCCAGCCCACCCCACCACCCCCCGUGCGGCCGUGUCCCUACCCACCCACGUCCCGCCGCGGCCGCGACGGAGGGGAGAAUGGGGAACCAAGGAUGGAUCGGAGGAGAGCGGAGGUGGGAGAGGUGAGUAAAUCAAAAUUGCGGUUUUGGUGGUGGCGGUGCCCCCGAGCGAUCGCAACGAGCGGUGGCGACUGGCGGGGCGGCAGUCGAGAUAAAUGAGUUGCAGAAUCCCGGCCCGGCCGGCCGGGGUUUUGACUACGCUACGCCUCCCCCGCCCCAAGAGCAAUUAGUUAAGAGUAUCUUCUACUGCACGGUUUAAAAUUCUCCUUCCCAAAACCUGACGACGAGAUAAUAAAAGGUGGUGGCUCUGUUGGAAUUUUCCGAAAUGUGGUACUAGUAGUACGCAUCCUGUUAUUACCGUAGCCCAGAUAUAAUGGCUUCGUUUAACUAUUGCCUCAGUUUACUAAUAUAUGGACUGUGCGUAAUUUUUCCUUUUUUUCUUUUCAAGAGUAUGCGCAGCUUCAUGAUGAUCGUCAAGCCAGAGAUAACAAGUCCUGCAGGAUCCUUGCAUCUUCUUUUCUUCAAGUUAAGUCCAGCAACAUCUUUGUCUCCACCUUGUUGGUGAACGUAGCGUAUGCCCCGCUCUUGUAAUCGCGAAAAAGGAAGUCGGUUCAUCUCACGCUGGCACCACAUGCGGGUUCGGACGAUAGAAACUCUCUCCCGAUAAUAUCGCUGCCCAGCUUUGUCGGUUGUACUACUUCUUCUGUAAAUGUACUACAAUACAACAGGUUUUCGCUUGUUUUUUGUCUCUCAAAACUUUAUAUUUUUGUGAGGGUUCAUCGAGCUUUUUUUCUUUUCUUUUUUUGCUAGACCAUCGAGCUCUUUGUUACUCCAUCUAGACCUGGGCAUGGGUGGCCUGGCCCGAAGCCCGACAUCCAUGUCGGGCUCGGGAAUCACUUUUCAGCCCGACGUUCAGGCCGGGCUCAGGUUUCAUUUUCUAGCCUGAAGCCCAGGAAAAGCCCGACCAAACGUGUUUUUUGAUGCUUUUUCUAUAAAUACAGGUAUAGUAUGUAUUCCUGAAAAUAACUAUAUUGUUAUCUUUAAAUACGGGGAAAUAGGCAUAUUGCUCAGGCCAGGCCCUGGCUUGGGAUUUUGAAGUCGGGCUUUUUGAAACCCGGCCCAGCCCGGAAAUGCCCAGGUCUAACUCCAUUUCUGGGCUACAAUCAGCUACUCCUACAGACCUUGGAAAACAAUCGAGUGUAUUAUGCAACCAAACACCGGUGCAUACCCCAACUCUGACACAUCUAGCUAAUUCAUGAGCCACUCUAUUUUGACCAUGACUAAUUUUACGAGGGAUAAAAAGCUUGAUUCUCCAAAACAGACUUGAUCUUAGACACAAAAUGGCUAUUCCUAGACCGAACAGUGAAAUGCUAGUGAGAGCUUGCAAAGCAAGUAAGCAACGGUCCUGUCCAUUUCAGGUGGACAGGAAGCUUCGUUCGUCGCAAGGUUAACGACAUAACCUUCCAUGAUUGCGCUUAGUUCGACUUAGAGGACAUCACCAAAGUGGAGCCUUCACCGUUUCAUCUCUUAGGGUUAUAUAGGCGGCGCCACAUGCAGGGCGGGAGUGGGGGAGGAUUGCGACAAUGAUGACAGUCAAGGGUCCGGCUGCAGUGUGGGCCAUCUUCUUGGGGUGCAAAACACCUCCCUACCCCCGGUUCAUUUUACCGCGAGUGGCCACCCACCUCUAUUGACUGCGACGGGGGAUCCCUUUUCACCUCUGCGCCUCAAUUAAUCCAAUCCAAUACAAUGGGGGAGGAUGGAGAGGGGUGAUUGACGGGAUCAAAGCGGCGGAAGGGGGAGGCCAUAUCUGGUUUGUAUGAAUUUCAUAUAAAUCUUGUAGGAUUCCAAUCCAUAUGAAUUUUCUCUAUGGAAGCCCUUUGUAUCAUAGGAAUGGGUUCACCAAAAUGUUAAGGAAUAAAUUCAUGUACCCUCAAUUCCAUAGAAAUCCAAAGGCUCCUUAGGUUCAUGCCUCUUGAUUUGGAUUUUUUAAAACGUAGGAAUAGAAAAGGCGUAGGUAUCAUUGUGUCAUGUCCUCCUGAUUCCUGCAUGAUUACAAAACUACAAGAAUUUGGAUGGAAGAUGUUUGAUAGCACAUGAAAAUCAAAGGAAUUCUACCAAGAAGGUUGAGUGGAUGGCAAUUUUCCUCCAAAAUGUAGUGCAAAUGAAUCAUAUGCACUUUUACGAGAUAAGGAUUCCAAUCACGCGAUAAAACUAUCGUGUAUGAAAAAAAUUACGAGGAUCUAAACGCCCCAAAAAUCCUAUGAAUUUCCUUUGAACCAAAAGAGCCCUUCAAAGAGAAGUUGAGGAGCACCGUAGGAUUAGCAAAAUUUCUUACGGUGGUAUUAUUCAUGUCUCCGGUUUAAAGGAAUGGGCUAAAGGAAAAAAAGAUAAAACAUUUCUUUGAUCUUAGUUUCGGAGGAAAAACAUAGUAAUUCUAACAUACACAUGUAUCUCCUUUCCAAAUUUCUAUGCAUGAAGAACGAGACUAAGAUACUUAGUGGCAUAAUAACAUUCUAACUAUAUGGCGUCCUUUGGUUAUAAGAUAGGAGUAUCAUAAGAAUAGGAGCAUCAUAGGGAAUGAGGUGACAUGUGUCCCCAUUCCUAUAGGAAAAGAGGUAUCAUUUGGUUCACAUGAUAAGAUUUUCUUGUCAAGCCUCAGCUAAUGUUUUGUUUCCUUUAAAAUGUGAAGGAUAGGAACCAUUCCUAAACAGGAAUAGGAAUUCAAUCCUACAAACCGGAGAGCUCGAAAGGAAAUUUUAUUAUAGGAAUCCUAUUGUAUAAUAUAUUUUUUUGCAUUUUCAUGUGGUUUGAUUUUGUUUUGAACCAUUUAUUAGGACUUUUAUGUUUUUCCAAUUCCUGUGAACCAAACAUCUAAGUUGACUGAAUUCCUAUGUCUAACAAUCUUAUUUUUAAGCAUGCAUUUCUACCAUGUUUAUGUGUUUUUUCUAUUUAUGCGCUUUUAGAACCAUGUGAACCAAAGAAGCCCUAAACAUGACUCAAAUGUCAUUUUAUUUUAGAAGUCUAUGAUGCACUGACACUCUGUCUCUCUCUACUCAAUUCCUUGAAAUUUUCAUGUUCAUUUCAUGUACACCAUUUAAAGAUACAUCUUAUAAAAUUCGGCGUUUUGACCGCCUUGUACUCCUUCGCUGGUGUCUCUGCAAACUCUCAUCUAGAGUUUUCCUGCCUCUCAUCGACACCGGUCCGCCUCGUCUCAUAUGGUCCUUGGACCAUGGAGGCGCGGUGGAUCCCAGCCCUUACCUGCGGGAGGGCUCCAUUUUUAGGUGUUUUUCUGAGUUUUGUUAGGGUUUGUGACAUGCUCAAGAAGACGAGGCGACGGCAGCUUGUUGAAGAUGAAAUAAGGUUCUCCUCGCCUAGCCCCCAUCUCGGGGAUGCUUCUAGCAUCACCGGAGGGCGUGCAGAGGUGUGUCUUCGGAUCUCGUGAGAUCCGGUCGGCGUUUGUUUUCGGUGGAUCCAUCGGGAUCCAGUUUUCUUUCAUCUGCGUAUGUGUGUCUCUAGGUUGGAUCCUUCCAAUCUAUGCUUCUUCAUCGGCGACGGUUGUUGUUCCGAUGCGCUGGUUCUCUGGGCCCUAGGCGACGUCCUGCUGAUUGUCUACUACAACAAUGCUUGCCCGACUCCCAUGAGGGAGGGUCAAUGACGACGGCGCGUCUUCGGCUCGCUCCGGUACUUGUAGUCGUCGCUAGGUCGUCUAUGGACGCGGAUGCAAUUUUUUACUUCCUAUAUUGUCUGUACUAUCUUUUUUUUUAAACUUUCCCUGUACUAUCUUGACAGUUGAUAAAUACAAUCAGAAUUUUUUCUCGUAAAAAGCCUUUCUAUGUUUAAAAUUUCUGUAAAAUUCAUAUGACAUGGCAUUUCAGUAUUACGUUUUUUCUUAUUUUAGAAUCCUGCAAUUGAAGGAAGCCUCCCGACCGAUUGAACUGUUUUCGGCCCCGGAAACAAGCGGUGGCGGCAGUCGAGGAGAUUAAUUAGGGAAUCCCGGUCCAGUCGGGCUCCAGGGGUUCUGACUCUCCUCUCCCGCCCCCAGGAGCCGUACUGUUCUUCUUCGGUUUAAAAAACAAUCUCUGUAUACUCCUUCCAAAAUGUGACGACGAGACGCUUCUGUGUCACCGUGUGUGUAGUGAUCUGUGCAUAAAAACUAAUGCAGCUUUGAUCGGGGCCUUGAUCGGAGAAGAGUAGACCGGAUGCAGCUUUGAUCAGCGGAGAAUCUGGAAGUGCAGACAAAACAAGUCCAGUGGUGGAGUAGUAGCAGUUUCCAAAUGUACUCUAGUGCGCGUGUCCCACUCCGUGUCUGUGAGUUCAUCUGACGCUGCAACCACAUGUUUCAAAAUAAGUGUCUUAAUUUUGUACUAACUUUAGUAUAAAAUUAUAUUUAUUAAAAUUAAGAUACUUAUUUUAGGACGGAGCAAGUAUAAUAUAAGAUUUUUUAUUACAUUCAAUAUGACUAUAGUUAAGUAAGGAUAGAUUAGUAGAUCAUCCCUGACGAACUAAAACUAAGGCCUCCUUUAGUUCAUAGUUCAUAGGAUAGGAAUAAAAAUCAUAAAAAAGUGAGAAGACAUGCCUCUCAAUUUUUAUAGGGAAAGAUAUGUCACUUGAUGCAUAUGAUAGUGUUUUUUUUUCAUUGAGUCUAGGCUAUUGUUUUUUUAAACGUGCAGGAUUGCUUCCUAUCCUACAUGGGAAUAGGAAUCGAGCACACUAGUAAAUUUUUGAACUAGGUAUAGCUACUCCUCCUGGCUCUCGCGACGCCCCCUCACGGGCGACGAACCUUAGACUCCCUAGCUACUCUCCCUCCUUCCGCUCCCUGCCGCCUUCUGAGGAGGUCACCGUCACCCCCGCGCGGCUGCCAGUGAAGGUGGCGGUGAGGCUUUUGCUACCCUGAGUCACUUCGAGGAGCUCUGGACGCCAGGGUGAUGGCCUUAGUUGCGAUGGCGGCGUCGACCUCACCCGAGAAGUGGUGUUGCGGGUGUUGGCUGGCUCCUCCAGUCACGUGGGCAUUGGUGGCUACUCACGGCGUGCUCUGCUCCGGCAGCUGCGCCAGAUCUGGAUGCCGGUGCUUCUUCUCUGCGUCAUCCUUCCUUGCCGGCUGUGGAUUCGUCCGGCCUGUGGGGAUGGCUUGGGAUGGUCGACCUCCUGUCAACCUCGACGACAAUAGUGGCUCCGGCCCCGUUUUUCCUCUUUAGGGGGCACUCGAUUCCCCUCCUUCCCCACCUCCUCCCCAAAAUCUUGGGUGAAAACCUUGACCAUGUGUGGCCGAACGACGGUGGAGAUGCCGCCUUGGGACGGGUGGAGUGUAGUGGAUGUGCUCUGAGUCGUCUACGUCGGCAGCGGCUGUGUGAUUCCUGUUGUGCAUCAUUGGUGGCGAGUGUGAGGUCGCCUUCCUGCUUCCGCUGUUGUGUUUUGAUGUACAACAGCGCUGUGGGUUUGCUAGCCAGUGAUGGUGUUUCUGUUUGGGGCGAGUGGAGAUAGUGGUCUUCCCUCUGGCAACAUGUUUGGAGAGAUGGUGCUCUCUCCCCCGUCCUUGGUUGGUUGUCCUGAUAUAAGCGAGGAUGCUCAUUCCUGCGUGGUGUUCCUCUCACCCUCAGUCUGGUGUGCCUCUACAGCCUCUACUCGCGAUGAUCCUUUUCGGCGUGGAGUUCACCUUAGACUUGUGCAUGUUGUUUUCUUCGGUGGCAGCUGUGUUUGGGCCUCUCUAGGUAGCAGCUUAGUUCUUGUUGUAUUCAUUUCUUGCAUGUCUCAAGUUUGUAUCCAUGUAAUCAACACCACUGUAUCUCUAGCUGGUUGAUUGCUUCGUUAAUUUGAAGUCGGGCUUUAUGCAUUUUCUCUAAAAGGAAAGAAAUAGGAAUCCAUUCCUACAAAUCAAAGGGCUCCAAAGAAAUUUUUCAAAGGUUUUGCAUAGGAAUUUUGCAGGAUUAGAAUCCUUAGGAUUUGUUAAUGUGUUGGUAGUUUGAUUCAUAAGAUUAAAUCCUAUAAGAAUAUUUUCCUAAGGAUUCUUUGCACUACUUUCUAUAGGAUUUCUAGCAUCCGCUCAAAUAUCUUUGAAAAAAACCUUUGUUUUUUUUCCUGAUUCAAUCAAACAGCCCAAAUCUUAUAGGAUUGAGAUAACCAUGACAUUUCAAUCCUAUGUUUUCCUAUUCUUGUGUUUUUAAAAUUCUGAGAAUCAAAGAGGCCCUAAGAUUGGUCGGACAUGGUUGUUCUUGAUUCGCAGUAUUAGGUUCCUGUAAUCCUGGUAAAGUAGGGACUGAUGGCGGUGCAACUGAACAUGUUCUUUCUAGAGCCCGACAUUCUUUUGUUCUAUUAUUAGUACCUGAUAUAUUUUCUAGGGGCCUAUUUGUCGUGCAAAAAGAAUAAUAAUAAAUAGGAGUGAGAAAAUAAGUCAUGGACUUGUCCCUGCCUGAACCGGGACAAUUUCACCACGGGAAAAACUCAAAAAAAAAAAAUCGUGUUAGGUGCAUACAGUGGCACGAGAAAAGAACCUCAGAGAAUGAUAUCCACCGGAGAUUCCCCUUUUAGAAUUAAAUAAGUGCAAAGUGAAUCAAAUGAAGAAAACAAAAUCCUAAAAUGUAACCUUCUUCACCAUUUUUAUAAGAAUUGAAAUUCCAUAAAAUUAUUCUAAAGAGUUCUGAUUACUCCAAUUAGGGCUAGGAGUAUUUUUAACACUGUUGCCAUGAUAGUACCUAAAAAGUAGUAUGCACUUCAAGUCCUCUUGGGUUAAUCUAAUUAAUAAUGAACGACAGAGAUAUAUUCCUGCUUUGUGCAUGCGUUAGCGGUGAAGUGCACUGUUGAGUAUAUUGUGUACGUGUAUAUUUGUGUGUAGGGCCUACCUCCUGUUUCCUUUAUAUAGUUGAGGUUGUGACCCACCUAUGUACUUAUAUAUAUGUGAUGGUGCACCGAUCAAUACAUUGAGAUUGCACAACCCAUAUCUUGUCCUUCUACAUGGUGUCCAAGGCCGCCGCCGAUCUCCAAGGCCGCCGCCGCCGCGGGCUCCCGCUUCCGCCAACCUCCACCCGCGCCGCACCGUCCCCUCCCCUCCCACCCGCGCCGCACCUUUCCCCUCCUCUCCCACCCGCGCCGCACCCGCACCUCCUCUCCCUUCACUCGCGCCGAACGCCAUGAGCUCCUCCUCAUCCACAGUUUCCAACCCGUUUGCCGGUCCCGAUGUCACUCUCGUCCGCGACCUCAACAUCCACGAGCGAGUUCCGGUCAAGCUUGAUCACACCACCGCCUCCUACUUCGCUUGGAAGCGGUAUUUUUCGCUUGUGUUUCAUGAGUACCUCCUGCACGGCCACGUGGACGGCACCGUGGACUCGGCGCUCAUGAUCAACGACGAGGAGUGGAUGAUCCUCGACGCCAUCAUCAUCCGCUGGUUCUACCUCACCAUCUCCAAUGACCUCUUCCACAGCGUGGUGAACGAUGAGGACGACGCCUAUGCAGUCUGGACCAAGCUCAACGGCCUCUUCACCGACAAUCGGCUGCAACGCAAGGUCCUGCUCUAUGGUGAGUUUUACGGGUGCCAGCAACUUGACUCAUCCAUCGAUGAUUUUUGCAUGCGCCUCAAGAAGCUCGCCGAUGAGCUCCGUGAUCUCGGGGAAAAGAUCGGCGACGAGCUCCUCAUCAGCACCCUCUCCGGCGGCCUCAACGAGGACUUCGAGAACGCCGCCUCCAACCUCACCCCCAUCCCGGAGCCCACCUUUGCCAAGGUGGUCGCGUACCUCAAGUUGGAGGAGCGCCGGAUGCGGGUGGCGCGGANNNNNNNNNNNNNNNNNNNNNNNNNNNNNNNNNNNNNNNNNNNNNNNNNNNNNNNNNNNNNNNNNNNNNNNNNNNNNNNNNNNNNNNNNNNNNNNNNNNNNNNNNNNNNNNNNNNNNNNNNNNNNNNNNNNNNNNNNNNNNNNNNNNNNNNNNNNNNNNNNNNNNNNNNNNNNNNNNNNNNNNNNNNNNNNNNNNNNNNNNNNNNNNNNNNNNNNNNNNNNNNNNNNNNNNNNNNNNNNNNNNNNNNNNNNNNNNNNNNNNNNNNNNNNNNNNNNNNNNNNNNNNNNNNNNNNNNNNNNNNNNNNNNNNNNNNNNNNNNNNNNNNNNNNNNNNNNNNNNNNNNNNNNNNNNNNNNNNNNNNNNNNNNNNNNNNNNNNNNNNNNNNNNNNNNNNNNNNNNNNNNNNNNNNNNNNNNNNNNNNNNNNNNNNGGGGCGCCGGUGCUCAGGGAGGAGCGCCCCGCCAGCCGCAGCAGGCCCCUCCGCCGGCUCCGUGGUACGCCGGCCAGAACCCAUGGACCGGUGUUGUCCACGCCUACUCCAUGCCGGUUCCUCGGGCCCCUGCCCCGGGCCUUCUCGGCACCCGGCCUCACCCGCACCAGGCGUACUACGCCGCGCCGCAGCCCUAUGCGGCGCCCUACGGCCAGCAGCCGCCGCCCGAUGGGCCGCCGCCGCUGCCCCUAACGGCUGCGCCGCCUCUCCCGCCGGCACCGUGGGACCUGGCCCUCCUGGCGGCUCUCCACAACGCUCCCUUCCCGUCCAGCUACACCGGAGGCGGCGACUGGUACAUGGACAGUGGCGCCACCGCUCACAUGGCGGCGUACCCCGGUAACCUCCACACCGCCCGUCCUGUCCACACCUCCAACCCAUCACCGUCGGUGACGGCUCUUCCCUUCCCAUCACCCAUAUUGGUCAUACAUAUUUUCCGUCUAACUCCACUCCUAUAUCCAUGUCUAAUAUUCUAGUUUCUCCUGAACUUAUUAAAAAUCUUGUUUCUGUUCGUUCUCUUACACGUGAAAAUCCGGUUACCGUUGAAUUUGACGAAUGUGGUUUUUCUGUUAAGGACGCUCGCACGCGGAUGGUGCUCCACCGAUGUGACAGCCCCGACGAGCUCUACCCGGUUCACUCCGCCACCUCCACCACUUCCGCCGCCCCUGUCGCUCUCGCCACCGGAGUGGAUCUUUGGCAUGCUCGCUUGGGUCAUCCUAAUCCUGCCACCCUUCGCCACAUACUUCGGAGUUUUUCUUUCACGUGUAAAAAGAACGAGGAUCACUCGUGUCAUGCAUGUCGCCUCGGCAAACAUGCUCGUCUUCCGUUUAGGCCUUCUUCUUUUGUUGCAUCGUACCCGUUCGAGUUAAUUCAUAGUGAUGUUUGGACAUCUCCUGUUGCAAGUAAUACAUGCUUUCUUUAUUAUCUUGUCAUACUUGACGAUUUUUCACAUUAUGUGUGGACCUUCCCGUUGCGCCGCAAGUCGGAUGUUGCAUCCACUCUCCCGCUUUCUAUUCUUAUGUGCUCACGCAGUUUGGUCGUCCCAUUCUUGCGUUGCAGACAGACAACGGGAAGGAAUUUGACGACAUCACUGUUCGUAAUCUUCUCGCCACACAUGGCACGAUUUUUCGUCUCACUUGCCCGUACACCUCGCAGCAGAAUGGUCGUGUUGAGCGCAUCCUUCACACUCUUAAUGACUGCGUUAGGACUCUUCUCUUUCAUGCCAAUGUGCCGCCGCGCUUUUGGCCUGACGCUCUCGCCACCGCUUCUCUCCUCAUCAACAUCCGUCCAUGUCGUACUCGCGGGAACUUUGCACCUCAUCAUCUUCUUUUCAGUGCGCCCCCCUCUUAUGAUGGGCUUCGCAUUUUCGGCUGCCUUUGCUACCCUAGCAUCGCCGCCACUGCGCCUCAUAAGCUCACACCCUGCUCCGUCGCUUGCAUCUUUCUCGGCUACCCACUUAACACCAAGGGCUAUCGCUGCUAUGAUCCCGUCUCCCAUCGUGUUUUCACCUCCCGACACGUUUACUUUGAUGAGAUGGUGUUUCCGUUUCAGCAGCAGGUACCCCUCGUCGUCUCGUCACCGCCGGCCACCGCCGGCCAUUCGACGACCUCGUCAGGUGGACGGUCCCGUCUGGCCCGUGGACCGCCUCCGGGCUUUGGCGGUCCCCGCGCCCUCCUGCCGACGCCCGCCCCCUCGGCCUCCUCGGCCGGCUCUGACGGUGCAGCCGGCGCCCCGCCUUCACCCGCCGCCCCCGGCUCGGGCGCCGCGGGAUCGGGCGCUACAGGCUCGGCCGCCUCCUCCGNNNNNNNNNNNNNNNNNNNNNNNNNNNNNNNNNNNNNNNNNNNNNNNNNNNNNNNNNNNNNNNNNNNNNNNNNNNNNNNNNNNNNNNNNNNNNNNNNNNNNNNNNNNNNNNNNNNNNNNNNNNNNNNNNNNNNNNNNNNNNNNNNNNNNNNNNNNNNNNNNNNNNNNNNNNNNNNNNNNNNNNNNNNNNNNNNNNNNNNNNNNNNNNNNNNNNNNNNNNNNNNNNNNNNNNNNNNNNNNNNNNNNNNNNNNNNNNNNNNNNNNNNNNNNNNNNNNNNNNNNNNNNNNNNNNNNNNNNNNNNNNNNNNNNNNNNNNNNNNNNNNNNNNNNNNNNNNNNNNNNNNNNNNNNNNNNNNNNNNNNNNNNNNNNNNNNNNNNNNNNNNNNNNNNNNNNNNNNNNNNNNNNNNNNNNNNNNNNNNNNNNNNNNNNNNNNNNNNNNNNNNNNNNNNNNNNNNNNNNNNNNNNNNNNNNNNNNNNNNNNNNNNNNNNNNNNNNNNNNNNNNNNNNNNNNNNNNNNNNNNNNNNNNNNNNNNNNNNNNNNNNNNNNNNNNNNNNNNNNNNNNNNNNNNNNNNNNNNNNNNNNNNNNNNNNNNNNNNNNNNNNNNNNNNNNNNNNNNNNNNNNNNNNNNNNNNNNNNNNNUCACCCGCGCUCGUACCGGCGUUCAUCAUCCGAGCCUCCGGUACUCGAGCGACGAGUACGUCCUCGCCGCCUCCGCUGCAGAGCCAUCGCCUGUUCCCGCAUCCGCUCGCGCCGCCCUCCGUGAUCCUCACUGGCUUGCGGCGAUGCAGGAAGAGUUCGAUGCUCUUCAACGGAACCGCACCUGGACUCUGGUUCCCCGGCCUCCUCGCGCCAACGUCAUCACCGGCAAGUGGGUCUUUCGCCAUAAGACCCGCUCGGAUGGUACUCUCGAGCGCUACAAGGCUUGCUGGGUGGUCCGCGGUUUCCGCCAGCGAGCUGGAGUGGACUUCACUGAGACGUUUGCCCCGGUUGUCAAACCGGGCAUGAUCCGCACCAUCCUCCAGCUCGCCGUCUCUCGCGGCUGGCCUGCUCACCAGAUGGAUGUCUCCAACGCCUUCCUUCACGGCCAUCUUGAGGAGCAGGUGUAUUGUGAGCAACCCACCGGUUUCGUCGACGCCUCACUUCCCAGCCAUGUGUGUCUGCUGUCCCACUCUCUUUACGGGCUCAAGCAGGCACCCCGCGCUUGGUACCAGCGGAUCGCCGGGUUUCUUCAGACAUUGGGCUUCAGCGUCACUCGCUCGGAUGCCUCACUGUUUGUCUAUCGCCACGGUGACACGACUGCAUACUUGCUGCUUUACGUCGAUGACAUUAUCCUGACAGCCUCCUCCACAGCCGUUCUUCAGCAGAUUACUCUCUGGCUGCGUGACGAGUUUGCUAUCAAGGACCUGGGUGCUCUACAUUAUUUCCUUGGCAUCGAGGUCAUUCGUCGUCCGGACGGCUACUUUCUUCAUCAGCAGAAGUAUGCACAUGAGCUUCUUGAGCGUGCUGGCAUGCUCAACUGUCAUCCCGUUGCUACUCCUGUUGACACGAAGACCAAGGUCUCUGCUCUGGAGGGCUCGCCUGCGUCGGAUGCUCCUUUCUACCGGUCUAUUGUCGGCGCUCUACAGUACUUGACUCUCAUCAGACCGGAUCUUCAGUAUGCUGUACAGCAGGUGUGUCUCCACAUGCACGCCCCUCGUGACUCCCACUAGACUCUCGUGAAGCGGAUCCUUCGCUACAUCCGCGGCACGAUGACCCUCGGGUUGACACUCACGGCGUCUACUUCUCUGGAGAUGGUGGCCUACUCCGAUGCUGACUGGGCUGGCUGCCCAAAUACUCGUCGGUCCACCUCUGACUACUGCGUCUACCUCGGUCCUUCCCUUGUCUCGUGGUCGUCCAAGCGACAACCCACGGUCUCGCGCUCUAGCGCGGAGGCUGAGUACCGAGCUGUGGCCAACGCUGUCGCCGAGUGCACCUGGCUACGACAGUUACUUCAGGAGCUGCAUCACGACGUCUCCCAGGCUACGGUUGUCUAUUGUGACAACGUCUCUGCGGUGUACCUCUCCGCCAACCCCGUUCAUCAUCGCCGGACUAAACACAUCGAGCUGGAUAUUCACUUUAUGCGCGAGCAGGUGGCUCUUGGACGUAUGCGGGUUCUCCAUGUGCCGACCGCUCAGCAGUUUGCCGAUGUGAUGACGAAGGGACUGGCGACCUCUACCUUUGAGGACUUCCGUUCCAGUCUCUGCGUCANNNNNNNNNNNNNNNNNNNNNNNNNNNNNNNNNNNNNNNNNNNNNNNNNNNNNNNNNNNNNNNNNNNNNNNNNNNNNNNNNNNNNNNNNNNNNNNNNNNNNNNNNNNNNNNNNNNNNNNNNNNNNNNNNNNNNNNNNNNNNNNNNNNNNNNNNNNNNNNNNNNNNNNNNNNNNNNNNNNNNNNNNNNNNNNNNNNNNNNNNNNNNNNNNNNNNNNNNNNNNNNNNNNNNNNNNNNNNNNNNNNNNNNNNNNNNNNNNNNNNNNNNNNNNNNNNNNNNNNNNNNNNNNNNNNNNNNNNNNNNNNNNNNNNNNNNNNNNNNNNNNNNNUUGAGGUUGUGGCCCACCUAUGUAUUUAUAUAUACGUGUCUGGUGCACCGAUCAACACAUUAAGAUUGCACAGCCCAUAUCUUGUCCUUCUACAUGCACCGACCACUAAGAGCAUCUACACUACUAAGUAUACUAAACAAACAGUUGAUGAUGUUAGAAGUUAAGUGGUGCUCCAUGUUUACUGCUAUGAUGAACACUCGACACAGCGCUUCUGUGGAGAAAGGUGCAUGCGAUUACCAUCCCUCUAAAUUUUUCACCAGGUUAGAAACAUUUCCCACAAACAAACAAGCCUACAUUAGACUGACACUCUCGCGCUGGGUUUUCCUAUCACAGCCACACGGAGCAUGUGCUGCACAAAAGCCAUUCAGAUCCUUCCUGCGUGCCUGCGGCGAAAGGAGCUGAAGACAAAGUGGCACUGGCCAACGAUCACCUCAAUAUAAUUGACGACUUGUCGUGCCACGGCCCACGGCAUUGACUCUUCGUCACGUAAUACUUGGUUGCCAAGGUAUCGGCAACGAGGACGACUGAGAGAAUAAUACAGUAUAUAUCUGAAUAAAGAUGAAUAAUGAUGUGUUUCCUUCUUGCCGUCGCUCAGAUGAAUGUGCUGUUGCAUGUCCUGCCCCUAAACUCCUUCGGUCCAUCAGAUGGUGGAACACAUUCGGGCUCGGAUCACACUAGCUUUCUUCCCAAUACUAUUACCUAGUACAGUACUUUGUUCGUCUCAAUAUAAGUGUCCCGGAUUUAGCACAGAUUUGUUUUAAUUUUGUACUCCCUCCAUACCAAAUACAUAUAUGUGAUUUAGUACAAUUUUCAAAGACGCUUAUUUUGUGACUGAGCGAGUACUAAAUAAGCGAUAAUUAUUUUGGGACAAAGGGAGUAUCACUUGCUCAGCUGUAGUAUUAAACUAGUUGAAUCGAAAGUAGGGAGUAGUAGGAGUACUAGUCAAGUGAGGAUCGAUCACCCCCACAAGAAAGCUAGAAAAGGUAAAGACUGAUCACGCAGGAUUGUUCUUGAUUCGCGGUAUUAGGUUCCAGGAAUCCUGGUGCGGUGGCAACUGAAAACCGAUGGCGGUGCAUCUCAACAUGUUUUUAUUCCUAAAGAUGCAUAUUCUCUCUUCUCCUUUUACAUGUGAAGACCCGCAUUCAGACAUUCUCUUGUUCUUUAAUUAGUAGAUGAUGAUGUAGUGUAUUCCACGGCCCCAUUCGAAUCACACGAUUCUGCGUGCGAUUAGAAAAUGUGCAAAACUGAAUGCCGUGGCAAUGUUGUUUCUGCAGAAACUGAAAACAGGGAACAAAUAAAGGAAGACCUUUGGUUUCACUCAACCACGUGCAUAUAGACUCUUUUUUGCCGGAUAAACUUCUGUUCUAUUCAUCUUCAAUCAUGAUAGUACAGUAAAACUAGAAAUAAUAAAAACUUACAUCCAGAUCCAUAGACCACCUAGCGCAUAUAGACUCGACAUCAUAUUUUUUUUGUUUAUAUUUUAUCUAGUGUCAGAUUCGUAUAGGCAGGAAUAAAUAAUAUGGAUCUUUGGAAAGAGGUUGGUAUCUGCUGGAGAUCUUUCUUUAGAGUUGAGUGCAAAGCAACAUUUUUUAGAGAGUGCAAAGCUACUUAGAGAAUAAAAAUCGCCCCUUGGCAUGAGAGGUAGCUAUCUUAAAUUCAUCAACAAAAGAGACCUGGAGAAUAAAAUUAAAAGGUGUAAUUCUAAAAUUAACGGUUCCUUUGAUUCGCAUGAUUCUAAAGAUGCAAGAAAAAAACAUAGAAUUAGUGUUUCAUGUCCUUACGGAUUCUAUAGGUUACAAACAAAUUUGGAUGGAAGAGUGAUUGAUAGCAUAGAGAAAACAAAGAAUCCUAUCAAGAUGCUUGAGUGGAUGGGAAAUUUCUUCCAAAACAGAGUGCAAAUGGAUCAUAAAAAAAAUCCUAAGGAUUAUCAUCUUGUGAAUCAAAUAACCACUAUAGGAAAAUUUUAUAAGGAUCUAAAUCCUCCAAGAAUCCUAUAGAUUUCCUAUGAGCCCUAGGCAUUCUCUACGAGAUUUGUUCUAUGAGUUGAAAUCCUAUAAAAUUCUUAUAAAAUUUUCUGAGUUGCUCCGAUUAGGAGUAUCUUUUAACAUUGUCAUGACAAUGCCAAAAAGGUAUGCACUUGAAAAUCUUUUUUGAUAACUUAAGUAACAGUGAUUGACAUGGAUAUCUCUGUGCUUUAUGUGUGUCUAAUCUACAACAUACUCAACAUGUCAACCACAGAUAGCGAGGACUACUAAGAGCAUCUGCACAUGUAGAUAAUCUUGUAUAGGAAGGUAUAUGUAAGAUUUGUGUGUCAAGUUAGGCAAUGAAAUGAUAACACACGAAAACUGUGAGGCUCUAUUUCAUAGGCCACUAUCUGUUGAAGCUCAUCAUCAAUUUGAGGUGGUCCAAAAUAUCAAUCUGAACACCCAUGUCAGUGACCAAAAGGACAUUUGGAGCUACACCUGGACCUCUAAGACAUACUCCUCCAUGAAGAUGUAUAGAUAUAUUAUUGGCCGAUCUACCUUACACCACAUUUUCAAGCUCCUUUGGAAGACCUCUGCCAUGCUCAGACACAAAAUUUUCUUUUGACUGCUACUCCAUGACAAAGUUAACACACGAAACCUCUUGCUAAGAAAGAAGAUGUAUCUGGAAUCAUAUAAUUGUGUCCUCUGCAGUGAUCAAGUGGAAGAGACUGCUCUGCAUGUUUUCUGGGACUGCCCCUUUGCUCUCAACGGUUGGAAUGAAAUUAUGCCUGGCAAGAAAAGCGGUAUCUCUAGUUUUGAUGCCUAGCAAUCUCAACUCUCCCAUCGGACCUAGCUCUGGACAUCAUACUCAUAGUCUGUUGGAACAUUUGCAAUGCACGAAGUGAUAAAACUUUCAAACAAGUUGCACACCAUCAAUGCUAGAAAUAUUACCUGAAGGAAGGGCUUUCUAUUGCACAUAUUAGAGCCAAAACAGUGAAAGCCAGGAAGAUCCUGGAUAGAUAAUUCCCUAUAAUUUUCUUAAUGUUUCAUAAAACCAGCAUAGGGUGAGCCCUGUUAGAGAUUGUUCUAUGUUUUCAUUUGUAGUUUGUACUUUUUUUAAUUAAUGAAUAUACCAUAGAACGAUUGUUCUACGGUCAACAGAUCAAAAAAAGUUAGGCAACGAAGGACCACAAUGAUUAAUUUGGUGAAGAAAAGGGCGCAAGCAAGACACAAUUUACCCAAGUUCAGGUCUACAAUGGGUAAUACUCCCUCUGGUUUAUUGACCCCCCUAGUAUUUCUCGUUUUUUCAACCAGACUUUGAUCAUUUAUAAAUGGCAAAAAGGGUAGCCCGGUGCAUGUAGCUCCCACCAUUUGGGUCUAUAGUGCGUAAUCUUUCCCUACAUUUCUGCAAGAGCAUGUUUUCAGGACUCGAACCCGUGACUUCAUGGUCAGAAGGCAACAGCUUAAUUUACCGUUGCGCCAAGACUCCCCUUCAAAAGGGCAGCCCGGUGCACGUAGCUCCCGCUAGAGCAGGGUCCGACCACUUUGAGUUUAUAGUACGCAACAUUUUCCUAUAUUUUUACAAGAUACGGUCCCAUAUGACUAAUAAAAUAUACAUUAUAUAUUACAAAAAACAUAUUGUUGGAUUUAUAUUUGAAAGAGGUUUCGUAUAGUAUAAUUUUUUGUGACAUGUACUUUACGUUUUAAUAUUAGUUAAAUUAUAGGUUAAGCUUUAGCCCAAAAUAAGAAGGGGCCUAAUGAACUCGGACGAAGAGUACCUUACCCUAUCUUGGGUUUGAUUAUUAUUAUAAAGAUCACAAUGGAAGGGUGGUGCUUGUCUAGACUGGAUCUACUCUAGUUUGAUGAAGACAUUGCUUCUUGAGGUGCAAGGUUAGCUUGUAUCUGGGUGAAGAUGCAUUGUGUCUCAGGUUGCAUGUGUUAAUGUUACCGAGACCUUAAUUUAUAGACAUUAUUAGUCUUGACCUCCAAUAUUUCUAUCGCUCCCGGGAUACACUCGUGAUUAGCACUGAGACAAGGGCAGUUGUCCUUUAUUCGAUUCUUAAGUCGGAUUCUACAUGAUAUCCGUUGCAUCCGCCUUGUACCCUAGCCUAGUAAAUUAGGGUGCAGCUGUCCUUAAGAUGUACUCCCUCUAUUCCUAAAUGUAGUGCGCAUAGGAAAGUUCAAAAGUCAAACUCUCCCUACUUUGACUACAUUUAUAGAUGACAAAUAUCUACAUCUACAGUAUUAAGUAAAUAUCAUUAGAUGCAUCAUUAAGCAUAUAUUUAUAUUAUAUUUGUUCAGUAUUAUUUUGGUUGAUGCUUUUCUCACUAAACUUGGUCAAACUAAACAAUGUUUGACUCCUAGGAAAUUCUAUGCGCACUACAUUUAGGAAUAGAGGGAGUAUCUCUUAUGCCUCGCAUACAAAUAUGUCUGUAUGCUUGAGUUUGCAUGGUAUUUAUAUUUAGAGUUCCUUUAAUUCACAUGAUAGGAAAAAUGGAGGAACCAAAAAGGAAUAGAAUAGGAGCGCACGUGUGAAACAAGGGAUUGAAAAGUACAUGAACUCUGCAAGAUUGGAUGUUUGAUUUGCAAAAUAAAACUCCUUUCUUGCUGCAGUUAUUUGAUUAAUCCAACGCUAAUGAUGUUCACAUCGGUUUGUCUCGUUCCUUGUGCAUAGAAAUUCUAGAAUGUGGUCUGGAUGGAUUGUCUCUUUCGCCUACUUUUCCCUUGAAGUCGAGAUCGAAGGGGAAAGCCUUCUCUAGUUCUCCUUCCACCUGCUCUCAUGGAUCAAAGGGGUGAAUAAUAGCACCUAGGAAAAACUGUCAUUAGUCUGCUUUUCCAGCAAAUAGAAGAAACAAAAAUUGCCAUUCCUCUACUUUUCCUUCAAAUCAAAGGGAAUAAUACCAAUGACGCUCUAAACAAACCGCGACGGGUUUUCGUACAUAUUAGUACACGAAAGCAGAACCUUACAAUGUUAGCGCUAAUGGGUUUUCGUAGUGAGCGUUCAGCAGCGAACUCCCUUCCCUCUCAUUCUUCAGCGCUAAUGGAUCCCGUCUUGCAGACUGUAUGGUUUGGACUUAUUUCCGUUGAUGAAACGGAAAGGUGGUGAGCUCGUUUCGAAAGGAGCUGAAGACAAACUGGCAAUCAGCCAGAGCCAGCGAUCACCUCAGUACAAUGUUGGGCCACGGUGGCCUUUUUCCACGCUGAAUGGUCCUGACAAGUGACAUUCACAUUCACAACAACAACAACAACAACAACAAAAAGACAAGUGACAAGCAGAGCAGCCAUUGUUGACGACUUGGACGUGCCACAGAAUGCUCACGUAGUACUUGGUCGCCAAGGUAUCCGAGAUCGACGAGGCCGAGACGGAGAGAAUAAUACAAUCCGGAUUCGAUUGCAACAAGGCAGUGUGGCCUGGCCACUCGCAUGCAGAACUCACGUACCCACGGCAAAGGUGGGUGGAUCGAUGGAUAGCAGAUUAGCAAGUGCACUGAAUGCUGACGAACCUCAUCCGCCAACGAUUGAUUGACGAGACCGUGACUUCACUUGGGAAAAGCCAUAGUUGGCAGCACGUACACUUGCUCCCUCCGCUCGCUGCUUCGUCGAACGAACGUCUCUAGCUAGCUCGGUGCUCCGGUGACUCGACCGGAUGACCGUCGCUGGCUUAGCUUUGGCCGACAGCGACGGCGCCGGAGGAGGAGUGGGCGCUACGAAACUCGAGGGGGUGCAAAGCGCCGUGUCGCAUCCAUACGUCCUCACGUUCGCGUGUCCGUCUCCGGAGGGAAGCCGGUGUCCAAACAGAAGGGGACACGGGGUGGAAGUGGAACGUUCGCCGGGGAGGGGAGGGACCAACGCAACCGCUCACCGUCGCCAUGCAUCGCAACGAAAACAAGGUCGGUAGGUGCCCAUGUUCAGGCCCGGUAGCACCGGAAAUGUGCGCUCUCAAGCCUUCGAUGCUGGGAUAGUCCCACCUCGGAAAAAUUACAAGCAUCCCGACCAGUUUAUAUUUCGAAAGCUUCGCAGAGUGCUCGCCGAGUUCGGUGGCGCGAACUUGUAACCCAGAUUUUUUUUUGAGGGACAAUUGACAGUCACUGCUGGCCCGGUCGUGUCGGCCCACAGCCCAAUUACAUGAGGGGAGCAGGCUUCUGGGCCCGGUCGUGUCGGCCCCUAGCCCAAUUACAAGUGGGGAGAAGCUGACUGUCAUUUUUUAUUAUUUCUUUCCUUUUUCUGAUUCCUGUUUAUUUAUAUUUUUUAUACUUACUCCUCUCAGAUUUCUAUUUACAUUAUAUAUGAUUCGUAUAUAUAUUUGUUUACUUAUACUUCUCUGUGAUUCGGUUCUAUAUAUCGAUUGCCGAUCGGAAAAGAUCGAUACAAAUUCCUAUUUAUUCAUAUUUUGUUACUUAUUCUUUGCUCUAAUUCCUCUUCAUAUCUUUUUUCCUAUAAAUUUAUAUGAUCCGUGUCUAUAUUUUUUUACUUAUAAUUCCAUAUGAUUCGUGUCUAUAUAUUGAUUGCCGAUCGUAAAAGAUCAAGACAAGUGAGAUUUCUAUUUACAUUCUUUAUUUAUAAAUUUAUAUUUAUAUGAUUCGUGUAUAUAUUUGUUUACUUAUAAAUCUUUGUGAUUCGACUAGUGAUUGGAAAUGAUCGAGACAAAUUCCUAUUUAUUCAUAUUUUGUUACUUAUUCUUUGCUCUAAUUCUUCUUCAUAUCUUUUUACCUACAAAUUUAUAUGAUUCGUGUUUAUUUUUUUACUUAUAAUUCUAUAUGAUUCCUGUCUUAUAUAUCGAUUGCGAUCGUAAGACAUCGAGACAAGUGAACGCAAAUCCUAUACAUGCUCUAAGCGGCACUACUACCCCUCACCGCCCGAAGCAAAUCGGUAAUGGGCUAGGCACAUCCUUCUUUUUUAGUGGGCCGCAUUUUGGAGAGGCCCGUCAAGUAAAGUAGCCAUCCGUGAUGAAAUGGUCCGCCGACCGUACCACCACUUUGAUCAUUUUAUCGUGGUAGAUGGAAAUUCAUUUCUUCUGUUUGGCGGUCCCUUUUCUGCCACGGAUUUGAGAAAAACACGAUAGAUGAUGAAGUUAUGUAUCUAAGAUAGGGUCAUGAACCUGUCCAAGGUACUCUCCCCAAGGACAUCUUUUAGAAGAAGCCGUCUUCCAGUCGACCUAGAGGAACUCCACUCGACGGACUAGAAGACACUCGACGAACCUGAAGACACUCGACCAUGAAGACUCACUCGACCACCAGGAGUUCAAGAUCUACUCUGUAUCCAGACGGUCUGUAAUUAAGUAGUCUUUAUGGUCAUGAUGACACUUUAUGUAAGGCGUUAUCAGUAACGCCUGACCUUAAUGUACUUUAACCCUCCGCUACGUGGGCUGGCUGGGGUCUUGGCGUCCUCUAUAUAAGCCACCCCCCUCCACUGGUAGAAGGGUUCGCACCCCUGUAACUCUCACACACAUAAUCCAGUCGACCGCCUCCGGGCUCCGAGACGUAGGGCUGUUACUUCUUCCGAGAAGGGCCUGGACUCGUAAAACACUUGUGUGCACAACUGCUCCAUAGCUAGGAUCUUGCCUCUCCAUACCUACCCCCUAUUUUACUGUCAGACUUAGAACCACGAUAGUUGGCGCCCGCCGUGGGGCAGGUGUCUUAGCGACUUGUUGGAGAAGUUGCAAUCUUUUCAAUUCCCAUCAUCAUGGUUUGAGGUGGAGUUUUGGUUGAGGGCCGCGAGAUCCGUCUCGGCGCGCUCACAUUCGUCGCCGACGACUCUUCCUGGCUGCAGGAGGCUCCGCUCGACGCGGAUGCGCUCCCAGUCCGCGGAGCUACGCACUUUCGAGCAUGCGUCCGCGACGUCCUUCUGCGGCAACCGUCGACUCAGUAUCGGCCGGUUUUCGUGUCAUCCUCCCUCCCAGCUUCGCCCCGGCGUAAGCGCUCCGGUCGGUCGAGGCUUCAGCAGUGGGUGAGGCACGCAGUGGCUCGCCAGUUGACCACUGCCCAAGUCGCGGCAAUCGAGCCCGACGAAUCUCUCUACGGCCUGUUCGACCUAUUGACUGGCUCCGCAGAGACUGCAUCCAAAUGCGACAGCAGUGAUCCGGCGGCGGAGGUCCUGAUGGUCAAUGGGCCGCACGUUCCCCCCGGCUUUCCUGGCACCGAGGGAGGCAACGACGGAGGCGAUCCGUCGCACGACCAUGAGGAGUACCGCCCCGAGCCCCUCGACUCGCAGCAGAGGGAAGAGCUUCGCCGCCGGAACAUGGAUGCGCUUCAUACUCCGAUCGUUGGAGAAACCGCUGAGGCUCGCGCCUUAGAGGACGCGCGCUUGGCCAACCUGGCUGAGCGCACUCGAUUGGAGAAACUUCAGCGGGCACUCGACGAGCGCGCGCGGCAACGAAUUCCAGACUCUAGUCGACGCCAACUCUUUAAACCUCUGACUCGGGUAUACCGCACUCCGAUCCAAAAUUUGGCAGCUGCAACCCGUAUAGCGGAGUCGAUUCAGCCUUCCCAAUCAGAGGCUGGCAGAGGCUUGAUGCAGAUCAGGGAUUUGCUCCGGGCAGCAGGAGAUCAGAAUUCGGCUGUGUCGCAGUCGCAGAACAGGAUUCAUAGCAGAUCCGUGGCGGCGAAUACGGUCCAGUCGGCUCAUAGCCCCAGAUCACCCCCGAGGCGUGAAGGGCAUGGCGACCGGCACGAUCAGUACAGGAACUAUGAGCAGUAUGAUCACCGAUUCGAUCGCAACGAUCGACGUCGAGUGCCCACUCCUCCCCCGAGGGGUGGAUCAUAUAUGCCUCGACAGCAGGAUGACAGACGCCAGCACAGUGGCGGGCGAAGAAUUCCGGUCGACCCCAGGGAACCAGGCUUUGAUGCGAGAUCCAUCAUCGUUCUAGGUCUGGUCGACCGGAACAGAGCCCAUAGAGAGGGUAAUGACAGAGAUGUACCCACCAGCAGCCGAGUGCACGUCUCCAGACCAGAGUAUUUCAGCAGAGCCAUCAAAGCCGUGGUGAUUCCUCCAAACUUCAGGUUGGCGAUUGGAGUCAGCAAGUUCAACGGUGAGUCCAAGCCUGAUACUUGGCUCGAGGACUACCGAGUGGCUGUUCAGAUCGGCGGCGGAAAUGAUGAGGUGGCCAUGAAGCAUCUGCCUCUCAUGUUGGAAGGGUCGGCCAGGGCAUGGCUGAAUCAGUUGACACCUAGCAGCAUCUACACGUGGGAGGACCUCUCCCGAGUGUUUGUCAGGACGUUCGAAGGAACGUGCAAGCGGUCAGCGGGACUGACAGAGUUGCAAUCUUGUGUACAGAAGUCGAAUGAGACUCUGAGGGAUUACAUCCAGAGAUGGAUCACACUGCAUCACACAGUAGAAAAUGUAUCUGAUCACCAGGCAGUUUGCGCCUUCAAGGAGGGCGUAAAGUACAGAGAGCUAAGCCUAAAAUUCGGUCGAACCGGAGACAUGUCUCUGAGUCGAAUGAUGGAAAUAGCCACCAAAUAUGCCAAUGGUGAGGAAGAGGAUUGGCUCCGGAGCGGCAAGCACAAGUCAGUCGCCCAGGACCGGAGGCGGAAAUUCCAGUCGGAAGCAAAAGCGUAAAGCCGAGCCAGCCGCUCCUGGAGAAGCCUUGGCCCUGAACCAAGGAAAGUUCAAAGGGAAACCCAAGGGACCUUGGAACCCCAAGAAAGUAAAGGAUAAAGAAGGAAAUGACGUGAUGGAUUUACCAUGUCACAUCCACACCAAAAAAAGACGAAGAGGGUAAUUUCAUCUACCCGAAGCAUACCACUCGACAGUGUCGACUCCUGAUACAGCAGUUCCAAGGGAAACAACCCAAGGACAAAGAAAAAGAGUCGGACAAGGUUGAGGACAAGGAGGAUAGUGACGAGGAAUAUCCACAAGUCAAUUCCACCUUGAUGAUUUUUGCCGAUGUUCAGAGCAAAAACCGACUGAAAGUUAUAAACCGAGAGGUGAAUAUGGCUGCUCCAUCAACACCCAAUUACCUGAAGUGGUCUCAGACUGCCAUUACGUUCGACCAAUCUGAUCACCCCACGCACAUAGCCACCCCUGGGAGGCAAGCGUUGGUGGUCGACCCAAUCAUCGAGGGCACUCGACUGACCAAAGUGUUGAUGGAUGGCGGCAGCAGUUUGAAUAUACUGUACGCUGAGACGCUGAAAGGGAUGGGCAUUCCGAUGUCCAGACUGAGCACAAGCAACAUGAGUUUCUAUGGAGUCAUCCCUGGCAAGAAGGCCGCAUCACUCGGUCAGAUUGCUCUUGACGUAGUUUUUGGUGAUUUAAAGAAUUUCCGCAAAGAGAAGCUGACAUUUGAGGUUGUGGAUUUUCAGAGUGCUUAUCAUGCAAUUUUGGGCAGGUCAGCUUAUGCACGUUUUAUGGUUCGACCAUGUUACGUGUACCUCAAACUAAAGAUGCCUGGCCCUAAAGGCGUGAUCACUGUCACUGGUAACCGCAAGAAGGCAGAAGAGUGCUUCCAGAAAGGCUCAAAGAUCGCCGAUGCUCAGAUGGUGGCAGAAGAGUGGCAGGAACACCAAAGGAAUGCAGACUCGAGUGAUUUGUUGCGAGCCAAAAAGCCUGCUACGGAAUCAGCGUUUCAGUCGUCCGGUGAGACAAAACCUGUUCACAUCCACCCGACCGACCCUAACGCUGCUCCGACUCAUAUCUCCACAAUACUCGACCCCAAAUAGGAAGAAGCGCUCAUCCAGUUCCUCCGUGAGAACUGGGACAUCUUUGCAUGGAAACCUUCUGACAUGCCGGGUGUACCCAGGGGACUGGCUGAGCAUCGUCUACGAGUCGAUUCAAAGGCAAAACCCGUGAAGGAACAUCUGUGACGGUCCGCCGUCCAGAAAAGGAAGGCCAUUGGCGAGGAAGUGGCUCGGCUCCUAGCAGCAAAGUUUAUCCGAGAGAUUUACCACUCCGAGUGGCUCGCCAAUGUCGUCAUGCUCCCCAAAAAGGAAAAUUCGCUUCGCAUGUGCAUCGAUUUUAAGCAUAUCAAUCAGGCCUGCCUAAAAGAUCAUUUUCCUCUUCCCCGCAUCGACCAAAUAGUCGACUCGACUGCGGGAUGUGAGCGACUGUCUUUCUUGGACGCUUAUUCCGGGUACCAUCAGAUCCGUCUGUUUGGGCCCGAUGAGAUCAAAACGGCUUUCAUCACCCCAUUCGGGUGCUUCUAUUAUGUCACCAUGCCAUUCGGCCUCAAGAAGUCGGAGCCACGUUCAUGAGGAUGAUUCAGAAGUGUUUGCUCACUCAAAUCAGUUGGAAUGUGGAAGCGUACAUGGAUGACAUUGUGGUCAAGUCACGGAAAGGUUCCGACCUGCUGACUGACCUCGCUGAAACAUUUGCCAACCUCAGGAGGUACGAUAUCAAGCUUAACCCAUCCAAGUGCACAUUCGGAGUUCCUGGUGGAAAAUUACUCGGUUUUCUCAUUUCCGAACGGGGAAUCGAUGCAAACCCAGAGAAAGUAGGCACAAUACUCCGAAUGAAACGACCUGUGCGUGUGCACGAUGUUCAGAAGCUUACUGAUUGCUUGGCCGCUUUAAGUCGAUUCAUCUCUCGUCUUGGUGAGAAGGCAUUGCCUCUUUACCGACUGAUGUGGAAGUCAGACAAGUUCGAGUGGACUCCUGAAGCUGACGCAACGUUUGCAGAGUUAAAAACCCUGCUUUCCACCCAGCCGGUGCUUGCUGCUCCAAUCAGCAAAGAGCCUUUGCUGCUUUACAUUGCAGCCACAGGACAAGUCGUCAGUAUUGUACUUACGGUCGAGUGGGAAGAAGAAGGGAAAGCCUUCAAAGUUCAGCGCCCAGUAUAUUACAUUUACGAAGUCCUGAACCCAUCCAAACAACGAUACCCUCAUUAUCAGAAGCUUGUAUAUGGGAUUUAUAUGACCACGAAGAAAGUUGCUCACUACUUCUCUGACCAUAUCAUCACAGUCAUCACCGACGCCCCCUUAUCAGAGAUUCUGCACAACAGAGACGCAACCGGUCGAGUGGCAAAAUGGGCGAUUGAACUUCUUCCCCUAGAUAUCAGAUUUGAGGCAAAGAAAGCUAUCAAGUCCCAAGCAAUAGCAGAUUUCCUUGCCGAGUGGACUGAACAGCAGUUAUCGACCAGAGUUCACUCGAAGCAUUGAACUAUGUUCUUCGAUGGCUCCAAAAUGCUGAAUGGUUCCGGUGCCGGAGUGGUCUUGCUUUCCCCCCGAGGAGAUAAGCUCAGAUAUGUACUCCAGAUUCACUUUGAUUCCUCCAACAAUGAAGCAGAAUACGAAGCACUCUUGUACGGAUUGCGUAUGGCCAUUUCACUCGGUGUCCGUCGCCUCAUGGUCUACGGUGACUCGGACUUAGUGGUCAACCAAGUGAUGAAGGAGUGGGACGUCAGAAGCCCAGCCAUGACUGGUUACUGUAAUGCAGUCAGAAAGCUGGAGAAGAAAUUUGAGGGAUUAGAGCUCCAUCACGUUCCCCGACUGAAAAAUCAAGCAACCGAUGACUUGGCCAAGAUAGGUUCCAAGAGGGAAGCCAUUCCGAGUGGCGUGUUUUUGGAGCAUGUUCACACGCCGUCGGUUCAAGAAGAUCCUUUCACUGAGGAAGCCCCGCAGCCAAAAAGCGCCACAGAUCCGACUGAAGUCGAGGUCCCAGCUGUGGUCAACUUAAUCAUGGAAGUUCUGGUCAUCACUCCCGACUGGACAGUGCCCUAUAUCGCCUAUAUUCUGAGGAAAGAGCUCCCCGAGAAUGAAGAAGAGGCUCGAGAGAUCGUCCGCCGAUCCAAAGCCUUCACCGUCAUGAGGGGACAGUUGUACAGAGAAAGUGCGACUGGAGUCAGCCAGAAAUGCAUAACACCGGAAGAAGGUCGAAUGAUUCUCAAUGACAUCCACUCGGGGACCUGUGGCCAUCAUGCGUCCUCUCGGACCAUCGUGGCUAAAGCAUACCGAGCGGGUUUUUACUGGCCCAGAGCAAAUGAGAUGGCGAAAGAGAUAGUCGACAAGUGUGAAGGAUGUCAAUUCUACUCCAAUAUGUCGCACAAACCCGCCUCAGCCUUGAAGACCAUUCCACUCGUCUGGCCUUUCGCUGUAUGGGGGUUGGAUAUGGUUGGACCACUGAGAACAGGCAGAAGCGGCUACACCCAUGUAUUGGUAGCAGUCGACAAGUUCACUAAGUGGAUUGAGGCUAAACCCAUCAAGAAUCUGGAUGCCGGCACCACCGUCAGCUUCAUCAGGGAGUUAGUAUUCAGAUAUGGAGUUCCUCAUAGUAUCAUCACAGACAAUGGGUCAAACUUCGACUCCAAAGAAUUCAGAGCCUUCUGCGCAUCUCAGGGUACACGAGUCGACUAUGCUUCAGUCGCCCACCCUCAAUCGAAUGGACAAGCAGAACGAGCAAAUGGCUUAAUUCUCAAAGGGUUGAAACCCCGACUGAUGCGCGACCUCAAGCACGCAGCUGGCGCAUGGGUCGACGAACUUCCAUCGGUGCUUUUGGAAUUAAGGACCACGCAAAACCGGUCGACUGGGAGGACUCCAUUCUUCUUGGUCUACGGAGCUGAAGCAGUCUUGCCAAGUGACCUGCUUCACAACGCACCCCCAGUCGAACUCUACACCGAAGCUGAAGCAGAGCAAGCCCGACAGGACGCGGUCGACCUUCUAGAAGAAGAAAGAGAGAUGGCCUUGAUCCGAUCGACCAUUUUCCAGCAGGACUUGCGUCGCUUCCAUGCCAGAAAUGUGAAGAGUCGAGCUUUCCAGGAGGGAGAUUUAGUUCUCCGAGUGGAUCAGCAGAAACCACACAAGCUUGCUCCUACUUGGGAAGGUCCCUUCAUCGUCACCAAGGUUCUCCAUAAUGGGGCAUACCGCCUUUACAAUGUCGAGCACCAGAUUGAUGAGCCCAGAGCAUGGAACGCGGACCUGCUCCGCCCUUUUUAUACUUAAGUUUUUUACUCGGAUGAGUUGUAAUAAAAGUACUCAUGUAGUGUAUUCAUCAAAGACAAGAGUUUCAUAAUUUUCUCAGUAAUUGUUAUUGCUUUUGUUCUCAUAAAUCUGUCCCCCAGUGGGUGGCUUAGCUGCGACCCGUUUUGCCUAAGCUUGUAAAAAAUCCUACCGAGUGGUAAGCCAGCCUUCCACUCGGAGGCUUAGCUGCGAAUCCGUUUCGCCUAAGCUUGUAAAAAAUCCUACGGAGUGGUAAGCCAGCCUUCCACUCGGAGGCUUAGCUGCGAAUCCGUUUCGCCUAAGUUAAACAAAAUCCUACCGAGUGGUGAGCCAGCCUUCCACUCAGAGGCUUAGCUGCAGUCCAAGUACUCGCCUAAGUAAACAAAAAACCUACCGAGUGGAGAGCAAACCUCCCACUCGGGGGCUUAGCUGCAGCCCAGUGCUCGCCUAAGUUUCUAAAAAACCUACCGAGUGGAGAGCAAACCUCCCACUCGGGGGCUUAGCUGCAGCCCAAUGCUUGCCUAAGUUUCUAAAAAACCUACCGAGUGGAGAGCAAACCUUCCACUCGGAGGCUUAGCUGCAGCCCAGUGCUCGCCUAAGUUUCUAAAAAACCUACCGAGUGGAGAGCAAACCUCCCACUCGGGGGCUUAGCUGCAACCCAGUGCUCGCCUAAGUUUCUAAAAAACCUACCGAGUGGAGAACAAACCUCCCACUCGGGGGCUUAGCUGCAGCCCAGUGCUCGNNNNNNNNNNNNNNNNNNNNNNNNNNNNNNNNNNNNNNNNNNNNNNNNNNNNNNNNNNNNNNNNNNNNNNNNNNNNNNNNNNNNNNNNNNNNNNNNNNNNNNNNNNNNNNNNNNNNNNNNNNNNNNNNNNNNNNNNNNNNNNNNNNNNNNNNNNNNNNNNNNNNNNNNNNNNNNNNNNNNNNNNNNNNNNNNNNNNNNNNNNNNNNNNNNNNNNNNNNNNNNNNNNNNNNNNNNNNNNNNNNNNNNNNNNNNNNNNNNNNNNNNNNNNNNNNNNNNNNNNNNNNNNNNNNNNNNNNNNNNNNNNNNNNNNNNNNNNNNNNNNNNNNNNNNNNNNNNNNNNNNNNNNNNNNNNNNNNNNNNNNNNNNNNCCCACUUGGAGGCUUAGCUGCAGCCCAGUGCUCGCCUAAGUUUCUAAAAUCCUACCGAGUGGAGAGCAAACCUCCCACUCGGGGGCUUAGCUGCAGCCCAGUGCUCGCCUAAGUUUCUAAAAUCCUACCGAGUGGAGAGUAAACCUCCCACUCGGGGGCUUAGCUGCAGCCCAGUGCUCGCCUAAGUUUCUAAAAUCCUACCGAGUGGAGAGCGAACCUCCCACUCAGAGGCUUAGCUGCAGCCCAAUGCUCGCCUAAGUUUCUAAAAUCCUACCGAGUGGAGAGCAAACCUCCCACUCGGGGGCUUAGCUGCAGCCCAGUGCUCGCCUAAGUUUCUAAAAUCCUUCCGAGUGGAGAACAAGUUUCUCACUCCGAGGCUUGGUUGCAACCCAGCACUUGCCCAAACAUGACGAGCACAAGUUGACUACAAUUUGUGCUUCACUCCUACUUGCAAAAGAGCAUUACAGAUGCUAGUAUAUAUUCCAACCCAAAGAAGAUGGUUGUCCGAAAGAAGCAAACGUAUUUCAACGGCAAAUCAAGUUCGGAUAACAUCCUACGGACCCAGAAGUGUUCAGGCAUCAAGCCUGUUAAAGUUUGUCAGUUACAAAAAUUACUCGGCAUUCCGAGGCAAAUUCAAAUCAUCGAGCAUAGAAGUUUUUUACCCAACAAAAAUCACCUGGCAGAAGACUUCUUCCAUUCUUGCACUUGACUCGGAACUUCGUUCAGUCGAGUCAUCAGCGACUCAAGGUCGUUCUGAAGCGUUUCUUCUGGCCAGAGCAAUGUGUCGAUGCGCGACGUUGCAGCCUUCAGUCUUGCAAGGUAAUCGACCACUGCAGCAACGCGAGACUCGAGGCGGAGCACGUUCAUAGCGGUUUCGUCCUUCACCGGAGAAUUGAUGGGAUCCAAGCCAGUCUCCACUUGACUAGUCUCCUCUUCAAAGUUUUGGCAGAAUUCUGUGGACACGAUUCAAGGAUAAGCUAAUGCCCUUACAGCAAGUCAGUAAUUACCAAUCGGAGAUAAGGGUUUACCUUCGAGCAUGAGGAAUAGCUUCUUGGCGAGUCGUCCCAGAUAAACCUCCAAGUCAUUCUUCUUUCCCGCCAGUUCGCCGGCUUUGUCGCUCAGGACCAUAUUGGCGUUCUUCAGUCGAGUGACUUCUUGGUUGGCCACGUCGAGAGCAGCCUUCAGAUUAGUGUUUUCCUCUUCAAGUUUGUUAACAGAAGCCAACUUCUCUUCUGCAAGUUUUUUCUUGUCCGAAGCCGCUUUCUGCGCCUCGGCGAGGUCAAGGUCCUUCUUCUUCAGAGCAUCCCUCAGUUUUUCUGCAAAAAUCACAAUAAGAUCAGACUCAGAGACAGGCAAGAAGCAAGGACAGUCGUCAAGAUUCUCACCAAACAUACCUUUUGCCUCCUCCUUCGACUUCGUAAAGUUCUCUUGGACAAGCUUCUGGUCAAGUUCAAGCUGGAUAUGCUUGUUCUCCAAUUCGGUAUAACGAGAAACAAGGUCACAAGAUUUCUGCGAAAGAUCAGUCGACAGACAUCAACGACAGAUCACUUCCGAGUGACUAAAAGAAAAAUUAUAGUAUUUCUAAGACUACAGCUGAAUCUAAACAUUCAACUGUAAUCUCGGGGACUACACCCAGUGGGUGCACUCAGCGUGCCCCCACUAGUUCUAUCAGCUAGACUCAGAGUCGAUCAGUCAACCGGUAGCAGUUAACUGUCAGCAGUAAAAAAAAUUCAGACCAUAGCCAACUGCCAGCAAUCGACAACGGUCUCGGGGACUACACCCAGUGGGUGCACUCAGCGUGCCCCCACCAGUUCUAUUAUUCCACUCGACCAAGCUCAAGUGGAACAAGUAAAGCGAGAAAUCUCAAGACACAAAGACUACAGUCGACUGCCAGCAGUCCACCGUAGAAUUGACACACCCAGUGGGUGCAUGACAAACAUCAAGAUUUCCAGUCGAUGUUUAACUAACCUGGACAUUACUCUGGAGAGCUGAACUCGCGUCAUAAGCUGCUUGGCUGGCAGUUGAUCGCCUUCACCUGCUCCAUCAUAAUCCCGGCCUGGCGUAUGGCUUCCUUGGAAGCGCUUGCUUGGUCCUCCGGGACGUGGUAGGUGGAGAAGAGAGAAGGCUGGUCAACACUCGACGACGAAGGGCGGGCAACUGUCAACGGCUCCGCAAAGGACAAGGUAGCCCGAGCAACGUUGCUCCCCUCUGGAAUCAGUGGUCCAGACGCUGACACAACUUGAGCAGCCUUGCCAACAGUCGCCUUCCUGCUCCUCCUCUGCCUCAGUGGCGCUUCAUCGUCAUCGUCAGGGAGAUCGAUGACAACGCUAGGUGGAGCUGCAGAAGAAGUUCAAAGUCAAAAAUAAAGAUUCAAUCGACCAAAAGGAAACCACGCAGAUCAUACCAGGAUGAGAAGUAGCAGCAUCUUCCAUUUCUUGAUCUUCAUGCCUGGCUGAAGUCUCAGAAGUAGCAGCACUGCGAUUUCAAAUAUCAGUCGGUCAUCGAUUGAGUCGACCAAGAAUAAAAACAUGGGUUAUGCUGUUACCCAGAAACAGUCAGAAUCUCCAUCCUCAUCUUCGGUAGGGCCUUCACCGGUUUUGUCGGGGCCGCUCGGGGUUGCUUCGACGCCUUUUCAGUCGGCGCCGGUGAAGUUGUCCGAGGGCGUUUCAUCGACUGCCCAGCAGGCACGACUCCCUUGCCGCGUUUGGCCGCAGGGUCGUGGGCAAGCUUGGACCUCCUUUCGGAACAAGGAGGCACGACUUCCUCCUCCUCUUCCUCCUCAUCGGAGCCUGCAUCUUCGUCACCCUCAUCGGCAUCCGACUCCCAGUCCUCUUGACUUUCGCCACCACUUCCUUCCUCCUCUUCAGCCCGUGCUUGCGCCCCGUUGGGCAUCGAGUACAACUCGGUGGUUUCCUGAAAGACAACAAGCAAGACAAAAGUCAAUCGACUGAUCUACGAUGAAACAGAAUGGACGGAGCAAUCGGAGAAAAGUAGUCGUACCUUGUCCGCCUCAUAAGAUUGGUCGAGUGGCGGGAUCCUCCUGGCUCCACGAGGGUUGUCCUUGUUCCCCAUAAUGGCAGUCAUCCACCUCUCCAGUGUGGCAUCAUCGACCUCCUCUGGGUGGACCCGAGUGGUGUCUUCAGUACCAGAGUACAACCACAUCGGGUGGCCCCGGUACUGGAGCGGUUGGAUGCGCCGCCGAAGGAAAACCUCCAGAAGGUCCAUGCCAGUCACACCAUCACGAAUCAACUGGACUACUCGCUCCAUCAACAUUUUAACCUGAGCCUUCUCCUCCAGAACUACUUUUAGAGAGGAUGGCUUGUUCACUCGACUCAUAGAGAAAGGAGGGAGCCCAGUCGACUGCCCUAGCGUCGGCUGGUCUUUGCAGUAGAACCAGGUCGAAUGCCACCCUCUGACUGACUCGGGAAGGGUCAUAGCUGGAAAAGCGCUCUUACUCCUCAUCUGGACCCCGAGACCCCCACACAUUUGGAUUACCUGAGUUCUCUCAUCGUUGGGACUGGCCUUUUUCACCAUCUGAGAAUGCCAAGUGAAUAUGUGCUUGAAGAGGCCCCAGUGCGGCCGACAACUCAAGAAGUUUUCACACAAAGAUACAAAAGCGGCGAGAUAGGCAAUGGAAUUGGGGGUAAAGUGGUGAAGCUGAGCCCCAAAGAAAUUCAAAAACCCUCGAAAGAAAAGAUGCGGUGGCAGAAAGAACCAUCAUUCUACAUGAGUAGCCAAGAGGACGCACUCAUCCUCCUCAGGCUGUGGCUGCCACUCCAUCCCCGGGAGCCUCGCCGCCCCGUGCGCAAUCAGGCCUUUGUUGGCCAGGUCGUCGAGAUCCUUUUGGGUGAUGGUCGAGCGGAUCCAAUUGAAGGAAAUAUGCCCUAGAGGCAAUAAUAAAGUUAUUAUUUAUUUCCUCAUAUCAUGAUAAAUGUUUAUUAUUCAUGCUAGAAUUGUAUUAACCAGAAACAUGAUACAUGUGUGAAUACAUAGACAAACAUAUAGUCACUAGUAUGCCUCUACUUGACUAGCUCAUUAAUCAAAGAUGGUUAUGUUUCCUAACCAUAGACAUGUGUUGUCAUUUGAUUAAUGGGAUCACAUCAUUAGAAGAAUGAUGUGAUUGACAUGACCCAUUCCGUUAGCCUAGCACUUGAUCGUUUAGUAUACUACUAUUGCUUUCUUCCUGACUUAUACAUGUUCCUGUAACUAUGAGAAAUAUGCAACUCCCGUUUACCGGAGGAACACUUUGGGUACUACCAAACGUCACAACGUAACUGGGUGAUUAUAAAGGAGUACUACAGGUGUCUCCGAAGGUACAUGUUGAGUUGGCGUAUUUCAAGAUUAGGUUUUGUCACUCCGAUUGUCGGAGAGGUAUCUCUGGGCCCUCUCGGUAAUGCAAAUCAUUAUAAGCCUUGCAAGCAAUGUGACCAAAUGAGUUGGUUACGGGAUGAUGCAUUACGGAAUGAGUAAAGAGACUUGCCGGUAACGAGAUUGAACUAGGUAUUGGAUACCGACGAUAAAAUCUCGGGCAAGUAACAUACCGAUGACAAAGGGAACAACGUAUGUUGUUAUGCGGUUUGACCGAUAAAGAUCUUCGUAGAAUAUGUAGGAACCAAUAUGGGCAUCUAGGUCCCGCUAUUGGUUAUUGACCGAGAAUGGUUCUAGGUCAUGUCUACAUAGUUCUCGAACCCGUAGGGUCCGCACGCUUAACGUUACGAUGACAGUUUUAUUAUGAGUUUAUAAGUUUUGAUGUACCAAAGUUUGUUUGGAGUCCCGGAUGUGAUCACGGACAUGACGAGGAGUCUCGAAAUGGUCGAGACAUAAAGAUUGAUAUAUUGGAAGCCUAUGUUUGGACAUCGGAAAGGUUCCGGGUGAAAUCGGGAUUUUACCAGAACACCGGGGGGUUACCGGAACCCUCCCGGGGGUUAAUGGGCCUUAGUGGGCCAUAAGGGAGAAGAGGAGGGCCGGCCAGGGCAGGCCGCGCGCCCCCUCCCUCCUAGUCCGAAUAGGACAAGGAGGGGGGGCGGCGCCCCCCUUUCCUCUUUCCCCUCCCCCCUUUCCUUCUCCACCAAGGCAAGAGGGGGGAGUCCUACUCCCGGUGGGAAUAGGACUCCUCCAGGCGCACCCCAAGGGGGCCGGCCGCACCUCCCCCUCCCUCCUUUAUAUACGGGGGCAGGGGGGCACCCCAGGACACACAAGUUGAUCUACGGAUCGUUCCUUAGCCGUGUGCGGUGCCCCCCUCCACCAUAUUCCACCUCGGUCAUAUCGUCGUGGAGUUUAGGCGAAGCCCUGCGCCGGUAGAGCAUCAUCAUCAUCACGAUGUCGUCGUGCUGACGGAACUCAUCCCCGAAGCUUUGCUGGAUCGGAGCCCGGGGAUCGUCAUCGAGCUGAACGUGUGCUAAACUCGGAGGUGCCGUACGUUCGGUGCUUGGAUCGGUCGGAUCGUGAAGACGUACGACUACAUCAACCGCGUUGUCAUAACGCUUCUGCUUACGGUCUACGAGGGUACGUGGACAAUACUCUCCCCUCUCAUUGCUAUGCCAUCACCAUGAUCUUGCGUGUACGUAGGGAUUUUUUUUGAAAUUAUUACGUUCCCCAACAGUGGCAUCCGAGCCUAGGUUUUAUGCGUUGAUGUUAUAUGCACGAGUAAAACACAAGUGAGUUGUGGGCGAUAUAAGUCAUACUGCUUACCAGCAUGUCAUACUUUGGUUCAGCGGCAUUGUGAGAUGAAGCGGCCCGGACCGACAUUACGCGUACACUUACGCGAGACUGGUUUCAUCGCUACGAGCACUCGUUGCUUAAAGGUGACCGGCGGUUGUCUGUCUCUGUCACUUUAGUUGAACCGAGUGUGGCUACGCCCGGUCCUUGCGAAGGUUAAAACAGCACCAACUUGACAAACUAUCGUUGUGGUUUUGAUGCGUAGGUAAGAACGGUUCUUGCUAAGCCCGUAGCAGCCACGUAAAAAUUGCAACAACAAAGUAGAGGACGUCUAACUUGUUUUUGCAGGGCAUGUUGUGAUGUGAUAUGGUCAAGACGUGAUGCUAUAUUUUAUUGUAUGAGAUGAUCAUGUUUUGUAACCGAAGUUAUCGGCAACUGGCAGGAGCCAUAUGGUUGUCGCUUUAUUGUAUGAAAUGCAAACGCCCUAUAAUUGCUUUACUUUAUCACUAAGCGGUAGCGAUAGUCGUAGAAGCAAUAGAUGGCGUAACGACAACGAUGCUACGAUGGAGAUCAAGGUGUCGCGCCGGUGACGAUGGUGAUCACGACGGUGCUUCGAAGAUGGAGAUCACAAGCACAAGAUGAUGAUGGCCAUAUCAUAUCACUUAUAUUGAUUCAUGUGAUGUUUAUCCUUUAUGCAUCUUAUCUUGCUUUGAUUGACGGUAGCAUUUUAAGAUGAUCUCUCACUUAAUAAUCAAGAAGUGUUCUUCCUGAGUAUGCACCGUUGCGAAAGUUCUUUGUGCUGAGACACCACGUGAUGAUCGGGUGUGAUAGGCUCUACGUUCAAAUACAACGGGUGCAAAACAGUUGCACACGCGGAAUACUCAGGUCAUACUUGACGAGCCUAGCAUAUACAGAUAUGGCCUCGGAACACGGAGACCGAAAGGUUGAACGUGAAUCAUAUAGUAGAUAUGAUCAACAUAGUGAUGUUCACCAUUGAAACUACUCCAUCUCACGUGAUGAUCGGACAUGGUUUAGUUGAUUUGGAUCACAUGAUCACUUAGAUGACUAGAGAGAUGUCUGUCUAAGUGGGAGUUCUUAAGUAAUAUGAUUAAUUGAACUUAAAUUUAUCAUGAACUUAGUACCUAAUAGUAUUUUGCUUGUCUAUGUUUGUUUGUAGAUAGAUGGCUCGUGCUGUUGUUCCGUUAAAUUUUAAUGCGUUUCUUGAGAAAGCAAAGUUGAAAGAUGAUGAUAGCAAUUACACGGACUGGGUCUAUAACCUGAGGAUUAUCCUCAUUGCUGCACAGAAAAGUUACGUCCUGGAAGCACCGCUGGGUGCCAGGCCUGCUGCUGAUGCAACCGACGAUGUUAAGAAUGUCUGGCAGAGCAAAGCUGAUGACUACUCGAUAGUUCAGUGUGCCAUGCUUUACGGCUUAGAACCGGGUCUUCAACGACGUUUUGAACGUCAUGGAGCAUAUGAGAUGUUUCAGGAUUUGAAGUUAAUAUUUCAAGCAAAUGCCCGGAUUGAGAGAUAUGAAGUCUCCAAUAAGUUCUAUAGCUGCAAGAUGGAGGAAAAUAGUUCUGUCAGUGAACACAUACUCAAAAUGUCUGGGUAUAAUAAUCACUUGAUUCAACUGGGAGUUAAUCUUCCUGAUGAUAGUGUCAUUGACAGAAUUCUCCAAUCACUGCCACCAAGCUACAAGAGCUUUGUGAUGAACUAUAAUAUGCAAGGGAUGAACAAAACUAUUCCCGAGCUCUUCGCAAUGCUAAAAGCUGCGGAGGUAGAAAUCAAAAAAGGAGCAUCAAGUGUUGAUGGUUAACAAGACCACUAGUUUUAAGAAAAAGGGCAAAGGGAAGAAGAAGGGGAACUUUAAAAAGAACAGCAAGCAAGUUGCUGCUCAAGAGAAGAAACCCAAGUCUGGACCUAAGCCUGAAACUGAGUGCUUCUACUGCAAGCAGACUGGACACUGGAAGCGAAACUGCCCCAAGUAUUUGGCGGAUAAGAAGGAUGGCAAAGUGAACAAAGGUAUAUGUGAUAUACAUGUUAUUGAUGUGUACCUUACUAAUGCUCGCAGUAGCACCUGGGUAUUUGAUACUGGUUCUGUUGCUAAUAUUUGCAACUCGAAACAGGGACUACGAAUUAAGCGAAGAUUGGCUAAGGACGAGGUGACGAUGCGCGUGGGAAAUGGUUCCAAAGUCGAUGUGAUCGCGGUCGGCACGCUACCUCUACGUCUACCAUCGGGAUUAGUUUUAGACCUAAAUAAUUGUUAUUUGGUGCCAGCGUUGAGCAUGAACAUUAUAUCUGGAUCUUGUUUGAUGCGAGAUGGUUAUUUAUUUAAAUCAGAGAAUAAUGGUUGUUCUAUUUAUAUGAGUAAUAUCUUUUAUGGUCAUGCACCCUUGAAGAGUGGUCUAUUUUUAUUGAAUCUCGAUAGUAGUGAUACACAUAUUCAUAGUGUUGAAACCAAAAGAUGCAGAGUUGAUAACGACAGUGCAACUUAUUUGUGGCACUGCCGUUUAGGUCAUAUCGGUGUAAAGCGCAUGAAGAAACUCCAUACUGAUGGGCUUUUGGAAUCACUUGAUUAUGAAUCACUUGGUACUUGCGAACCGUGCCUCAUGGGCAAGAUGACUAAAACGCCGUUCUCCGGAACUAUGGAGCGAGCAACUGAUUUGUUGGAGAUCAUACAUACUGAUGUUUGUGGUCCAAUGAAUGUUGAGGCUCGCGGUGGGUAUCGUUAUUUUCUCACCUUCACAGAUGAUUUGAGCAGAUAUGGGUAUAUCUACUUAAUGAAACACAAGUCUGAAACAUUUGAAAAGUUCAAAGAAUUUCAGAGUGAAGUGGAAAAUCAUCGUAACAAGAAAAUAAAGUUUCUACGAUCUAAUCGUGGAGGAGAAUAUUUGAGUUACGAGUUUGGUCUACACUUGAAACAAUGCGGAAUAGUUUCGCAACUCACGCCACCCGGAACACCACAACGAAAUGGUGUGUCCGAACGUCGUAAUCGUACUUUACUAGAUAUGGUGCGAUCUAUGAUGUCUCUUACUGAUUUACCGCUAUCGUUUUGGGGUUAUGCUUUAGAGACGGCCGCAUUCACGUUAAAUAGGGCACCAUCAAAAUCCGUUGAGACAACACCUUAUGAACUGUGGUUUGGCAAGAAACCAAAGUUGUCGUUUCUUUAAAGUUUGGGGCUGCGAUGCUUAUGUGAAGAAGAUUCAACCAGAUAAGCUCGAACCCAAAUCGGAGAAAUGUGUCUUCAUAGGAUACCCAAAAGAGACUAUUGGGUACACCUUCUAUCACAGAUCUGAGGGCAAGAUUUUCGUUGCUAAAAUCGGAUCCUUUCUAGAGAAGGAGUUUCUCUCGAAAGAAGUGAGUGGGAGGAAAGUAGAACUUGAUGAGAUAACUGUAUCUACUCCCUUGUUGGAAAGUAGUUGAUCACAAGAACCGGUUCCUGUGACAACUACACCAACUAGUGAGGAAGCUGAUGAUAUUGAUCAUGAAACUUCAGAUCAAGUUUCUACUGAACCUCGUAGGUCUACCAGAGUAAGAUCCGCACCAGAGUGGUACGGUAAUCCUAUUCUGGAAGUCAUGUUACUUGACCAUGAUGAACCUACGAACUAUGAGGAAGCGAUGAUGAGCCUAGAUUCCGCAAAAUGGCUAGAUGCCAUGAAAUCUGAGAUGGGAUCCAUGUACGAAAACAAAGUAUGGACUUUGGUUGACUUGCCCAAUGAUCGGCAAGCCAUUGAGAAUAAAUGGAUCUUUAAGAAGAAGACUGACGCUGAUGGUAAUAUAACUGUCUAUAAAGCUCGACUUGUUGCGAAAGGUUUUCGACAAGUUCAAGGGGUUGACUACGAUGAGUCUUUCUCACCCGUAGCGAUGCUUAAGUCUGUCCGAAUCAUGUUAGCUAUUGCUGCAUUUCAUGAUUAUGAAAUUUGGAAAAUGGAUGUCAAAACUGCAUUCUUGAAUGGAUUUCUGGAAGAAGAGUUGUAUAUGAUGCAACCAGAAGGUUUUGUUGAUCCAAAAGAUGCUAACAAAGUGUCCAAGCUCCAGCGAUCCAUUUAUGGACUGGUGCAAGCAUCUCGGAGUUGGAAUAAACGUUUUGAUAGUGUGAUCAAAGCAUAUGGUUUUAUACAGACUUUUGGAGAAGCCUGUAUUUACAAGAAAGUGAGUGGGAGCUCUGUAGCAUUUCUGAUUUUAUAUGUAGAUGACAUAUUAUUAAUUGGAAAUGAUAUAGAAUUUCUGGAUAGCAUAAAGGGAUACUUGAAUAAAAGUUUUUCAAUGAAAGACCUCGGCGAAGCUGCUUACAUAUUGGGCAUCAAGAUCUAUAGAUAUAGAUCAAGACGCUUAAUAGGACUUUCACAAAGCACAUACCUUGACAAAAUUUUGAAAAAGUUCAAAAUGGAUCAGGCAAAAAAAGGUUUCUUGCCUGUGCUACAAGGUGUGAAGUUGAGUCAAACUCAAUGCCCGACCACAGCAGAAGAUAGAGAGAAAAUGAAAGAUGUUCCCUAUGCUUCAGCCAUAGGCUCUAUCAUAUAUGCAAUGCUGUGUACCAGACCUGACGUAUGCUUAGCAAUAAGCUUGGCAGGAAGGUACCAAAGUAAUCCAGGAGUGGAUCACUGGACAUCGGUCAAGAACAUCAUGAAAUACCUGAAAAGGACUAAGGAUAUGUUUCUCGUAUAUGGAGGUGACAAAGAGCUAGUCGUAAAUGGUUACGUUGAUGCAAGCUUUGACACUGAUCCGGACGAUUCUAAAUCGCAAACCGGAUACGUGUUUUUAUUAAACGGUGGAGCUGUAAGUUGGUGCAGUUCUAAACAAAGCGUCGUGGCGGGAUCUACAUGUGAAGCGGAGUACAUAGCUGCUUCUGAAGCAGCAAAUGAAGGAGUCUGGAUGAAGGAGUUCAUUACCGAUCUAGGUGUCAUACCUAGUGCAUCGGGACCAAUGAAGAUCUUCUGUGACAAUACUGGUGCAAUUGCUUUGGCAAAGGAAUCCAGAUUUCACAAGAGGACCAAGCACAUCAGGAGACGCUUCAAUUCCAUUCGGGAUCAAGUCCAAGUGGGAGACAUAGAGAUUUGCAAAAUACAUACGGAUCUGAAUGUUGCAGACCCGUUGACUAAGCCUCUCUCACGAGCAAAACAUGAUCAACACCAAGACUCCAUGGGUGUUAGAAUCAUUACUAUGUAAUCCAGAUUAUUGACUCUAGUGCAAGUGGGAGACUGAAGGAAAUAUGCCCUAGAGGCAAUAAUAAAGUUAUUAUUUAUUUCCUCAUAUCAUGAUAAAUGUUUAUUAUUCAUGCUAGAAUUGUAUUAACCGGAAACAUGAUACAUGUGUGAAUACAUAUACAAACAUAUAGUCACUAGUAUGCCUCUACUUGACUAGCUCAUUAAUCAAAGAUGGUUAUGUUUCCUAACCAUAGACAUGUGUUGUCAUUUGAUUAAUGGGAUCACAUCAUUAGAAGAAUGAUGUGAUUGACAUGACCCAUUCCGUUAGCCUAGCACUUGAUCGUUUAGUAUACUGCUAUUGCUUUCUUCAUGACUUAUACAUGUUCCUGUAACUAUGAGAAAUAUGCAACUCCCGUUUACCGGAGGAACACUUUGGGUACUACCAAACGUCACAACGUAACUGGGUGAUUAUAAAGGAGUACUGCAGGUGUCUCCGAAGGUACAUGUUGAGUUGGCGUAUUUCGAGAUUAGGUUUUGUCACUCCGAUUGUCGGAGAGGUAUCUCUGGGCCCUCUCGGUAAUGCACAUCAUUAUAAGCCUUGCAAGCAAUGUGACCAAAUGAGUUGGUUACGGGAUGAUGCAUUACGGAACGAGUAAAGAGACUUGCCGGUAACGAGAUUGAACUAGGUAUUGGACACCGACGAUCAAAUCUCGGGCAAGUAACAUACCGAUGACAAAGGGAACAACGUAUGUUGUUAUGCGGUUUGACCGAUAAAGAUCUUCGUAGAAUAUGUAGGAACCAAUUUGGGCAUCCAGGUCCCGCUAUUGGUUAUUGACCGAGAAUGGUUCUAGGUCAUGUCUACAUAGUUCUCGAACCCGUAGGGUCCGCACGCUUAACGUUACGAUGACAGUUUUAUUAUGAGUUUAUAAGUUUUGAUGUACCGAAGUUUGUUCGGAGUCCCGGAUGUGAUCACGGACAUGACGAGGAGUCUCGAAAUGGUCGAGACAUAAAGAUUGAUAUAUUGGAAGCCUAUGUUUGGACAUCGGAAAGAUUCCGGGUGAAAUCGGGAUUUUAUCGAAACACCGGGGGGUUACCGGAACCCUCCCGGGGGUUAAUGGGCCUUAGUGGGCCAUAAGGGAGAAGAGGAGGGCCGGCCAGGGCAGGCCGCGCGCCCCCUCCCCCCCUAGUCCGAAUAGGACAAGGAGGGGGGGGG
rnacentral:lncRNA from 1 species